ACAAUCUGGACCCUCUCCAUCACGCUACAGUCAGCAGAGUCAGAGCUCCCAUCAGGCACCUUCCGUUGCAAGCAACCAGCCGCCAGCAAACGCCUGUUGGCACUGCGGGGACCCCAGUCAUUUCAAAAACAACUGCCCCCAGUUGAAGGCACCAGGGCCAACCUACUCCAACUCGGUGAAUGGCCCCAAGGUUCCAUCAGCACCCACCCCCAAGGCGCUCCCCUCCAACAGCCAGCAGAGCAGGACUCAGUACCAGGGCAGGGCCCGGGUCAACCACGUCGACGCGCAGGAGGCCCAGCAAGCCCCGGGAGUAGUGCUCGGUGAGUUCCUCGUUGAAUUUACUCCCGCUUCUGUGCUUUUUGAUUCAGGAGCAUCCCACUCAUUUAUAGCCGCUAAGUUUGUGGAGAAACAUGGCAUACCCUCUACACCUCUAGCUAUCCCUUUGGUCACCCGAACCCCGGGGUCAGACCUUCUGUGCAAACUCAGGUGUUCCCAAGUCAGAAUUCUUUUAAGUGGGGUAGUGUUCCUGGCAGACUUAACCAUCUUGCCAUCCCAAGGAAUUGAUGUAAUCCUAGGAAUGGAUUGGCUAGCUAAGCACAAGGGUGUUAUCAGCUGCGCAAGCAAGACUGUUCUUCUCAUAGAUCACCGAGGAAAGGCAGUUUCCUGUCAAGCCCAACCGCCCGCAAAUGAUCCAAUGAUAUUUAAUCUGGCAGUAGAAAGCAUGUCUGUAAUCAAGGAAUUUGAAGAUGUAUUUCCAGAAGAGCUGCCCGGGAUGCCACCAGAAAGAGAAGUAGAGUUCUACAUAGAUCUCAUUCCCGGCACCGCACCCAUCGCAAAGAGACCAUACCGCAUGGCCCCCACUGAGUUGGUAGAAUUGAAGCUUCAGAUUUCGGAACUACAACAAAAAGGGUACAUCCGUCCCAGUUCGUCUCCCUGGGGAGCACCCGUUCUUUUCGUUACCAAAAAGGAUGGGAGUAUGAGGAUGUGUAUUGAUUAUCGAUCCUUGAACGAGGUUACAAUCAAGAAUAAGUACCCUCUUCCUCGGAUCGAUGACCUCUUCGACCAACUACAAGGAGCCAAAUACUUCUCCAAGAUAGACCUCAGGUCAGGGUAUCACCAACUGAGAAUCAAAGAGGCAGACAUUCAGAAAACUGCAUUCGUCACCAGAUAUGGGCAAUAUGAGUUCACAGUGAUGCCAUUUGGACUAACCAACGCACCCGCCUUUUUCAUGAACCUCAUGAAUAAGGUGUUUAUGGAAGAAUUGGAUAAGUUUGUCGUGGUCUUCAUCGACGACAUCCUUAUUUAUUCAAAGAAUCGCAAGGACCAUGAGCAUCACCUUCGAAUCGUCCUCGGAAGACUCAGAGCGCAUCAACUUUAUGCGAAGCUUAGCAAGUGUGAGUUUUGGUUGGAGAAGAUAGCUUUCCUAGGGCAUAUCUUGACUGCAGAAGGGAUAGAAGUGGACCCAUCCAAGGUAGAAGCUGUCUCAAAUUGGAAGCAACCAUCCAAUGUCAGCGAAGUACGAAGCUUUCUGGGAAUGGCAGGGUAUUACCGCCGUUUUAUCAAGGGAUUCUCCAGCAUAGCAAAGCCCUUGACCGAACUUCUCAAAAAGGACAAUAAGUUUGUGUGGACUCCCAAGCGUGAAGAAAGUUUCCAAAUCAUUAAAGAGAAACUUACAACCGCACCAGUCCUGACUCUGCCAGACAUACACCAGGAUUUCGUCAUCUUUUGUGAUGCUUCCAAGCAAGGCUUGGGGUGUGUCUUAAUGCAAAAUGAGAAAGUCAUUGCUUAUGCAUCUCGCUUACUCAAGCCGCACGAACAGAACUAUCCUACCCACGAUCUGGAAUUGGCAGCCAUAGUGCAUGCCCUAAAAAUUUGGAGGCAUUAUCUGAUUGGGAACAAAUGCCACAUCUUCACUGAUCACAAGAGUCUAAAGUACAUUUUCACGCAGCCGGACCUCAACCUCCGUCAAAGAAGGUGGCUCGAAUUGAUCAAAGAUUAUGACCUCGAAAUCCACUACCACCCCAGAAAGGCCAACGUGGUAGCUGACGCCCUCAGCAGAAAACCCUUUGGGAUUAAGGGAGCAAACUUUCUGGAAGAUUGGAAGAAAGAAUCUGCUCAGCUAAAUGCAUGUCUGGGAGACAACGGUAGCCUGGAAGUCAAGCCAAAUCUAGAAGAUCUCAUAUGCAAGGCCCAACGCAUGGACGCAGAAACAACCAAGCUUAUGGAAAGAGCACGAAAGGAGCAACUUCCGGACCUCAGGGCAGAUAAUCAAGGAACCCUCUGGUUCAGGGAUCGCCUGUGCGUGCCAGUGGGAGAAACACGAGAAACCCUGCUCAAUGAAGCCCACAACUCAGCUUACUCUAUCCACCCAGGGACCACCAAGAUGUACCUAGACCUUAAGGCCAGAUAUUGGUGGAAAGGGAUGAAGAGGGAAAUAGCACAGUAUGUGGCCCGAUGUGACACCUGCGAGCGAACAAAGGCCGAACAUCAGAAGCCUGCAGGCCUGCUUCAACCCCUCCCAAUACCCGAAUGGAAAUGGGAAGAAAUAGGCAUGGAUUUCGUCACCGGACUGCCCAGAUCACAAAAAGGAAAUGACUCCAUUUGGGUAAUCAUCGACCGUCUCACCAAGGUGGCCCAUUUCAUUCCAGUAAAGACCACCUUUGGAGGAGCAGCCCUCGCCCGAUUAUACCUUAAGGAGAUAGUCAGGCUACAUGGCAUUCCACGGAAGAUAGUAUCAGAUAGAGGAACGCAGUUCACUUCAAAAUUUUGGAAGGGCCUUCAGCAAGCAAUGGGCACCAAGCUGGAUUUCAGCACUGCUUAUCACCCCCAGUCAGAUGGUCAAACAGAAAGAGUCAACAAGGUCCUUGAAGAUUUACUCAGAGCCUGCGUAUUAGCCUUCGACAGAGAUUGGGAGUCUAGUUUACCGUACGCCGAGUUCUCAUACAACAUCAGCCAUCAGGCCAGCAUCAAAAUGUCACCAUUCGAAGCACUGUAUGGAAGAAAAUGCCAGACUCCCCUAAUGUGGUCCAAUGUAGGGGAAAGAACACUAGAAGGACCCGACUUUGUUAAAGAAGCCGAAGAAAAAGUUGCUUUGAUCCGCAGAAGGUUACUUGAAGCUCAGAGUCGACAGAAGAGUUACGCAGACAAUAGGCGAAGGGAACUCAGAUUUGAGGAAGGAGAUUUUGUUUAUCUCAAGGUUUCCCCAAUGCGUGGUGUCAAGAGGUUUCAGAUGAAAGGAAAGCUAGCACCCCGUUUCGUCGGUCCUUACCCGGUCAUCUCCCGAAUAGGACAUGUGGCUUACCGUCUUGAGCUACCAGAAUCCAUGUCAGAUAUUCACAAUGUGUUCCAUGUGUCUCAACUGCGCAAAUGUCUAAAAGUACCAGAAACCCGUAUUGAGGCAGAAGCAAUUCAGAUUCAAAAAGAUCUCCAGUACCGGGAAAAGCCAGUGAAGAUUCUCGACUCAGCAGUCAGAAGGACCCGCAAUUCAAAAGUGAAGCUCUGUAAGGUUCAGUGGGGCAGAGAUGGGGAAGAGGAAGCCACCUGGGAAAGUGAGGACUCUCUGAGGAAGGAAUACCCUUACCUUUUCUCGAGCCCCGUCUGAAUCUCGAGGGCGAGAUUCCUUUAAGUGGGGUAGGUUUGUAGCAUCCCAAUUUCUAACCCAGGUUUGAAACCCUAAUCUAACCCCCCCUUCUUUUUAUCUAUCCCAAAACUCCCUUAGAUUCUUCCCAACAUAUGCAUACACCUUGUUUGAAUAUGAGCACCUCACUUAAAUUUUAUUUUUCAGCACCUAGAUUAUCUAUUAAAUUAAUUGUUCAAAAGAAAAGAAUAUAAAAAGAUUUGGAUAUAGGGAUUAGAAAAUAAAAAGGAAAAAGAGAACCCCCCCUCCUAGCUGGGCUGAAUCCAGCCCAUGCCGCGGCCGCCUUUCCUCCCUCACGCCCGCGCUCCCCCCCCUCCGGCCCAUUACCGGCCUGCUCCCGCGCGCGCAGCUGCUCCGCGCUCCCUCUCUCACUCUCGCUGACAGGCCGACCCCACCUGCCAGUCACUCUCUCUCACGCGCUCGCUUCCACUGGCAGACCGGCCCACCGAUCAGCCGCUUCGUCAUCCUCUCCGCAUACGACGCCCCGCCGUCCCUUCACCGCCGUCCUUCACCGCCGUCUCUUCACCGCCGUCUCCUCGCCGCACAGGAAAGUUUGGCACCGCUCCGUCCUCCUCCCCUUGACCAGCGUCCUCGCCGGUACCGCCCCGCCGUAGCGUCCCCUCGGCGGCGCUGUGCGCCAUUAAUGGCGGCACCGGGAAGCUCGCCGGAGUCAGGGAGCUCCACCGCUCCCCUCGCCCCCGCGCGCCUAUAAAAAGCUCGCCCCGAACCCCGUCUUCCUCGCACCAGCCUCGACCGCUACCCUCCCCCCCUCGCCCGAGCCCAAUUUGGGAAGCGCCGUCGUCUUCCUUCUCUCCGGUGAGUUCCUCCCCUCUCCUCUCUCUCCCUCUCGGUUGGCCCAGCAAGCGAUUAAGCUAGCCUAGCAGCUUCCUCUCUUUGCCGCAAACACAAUACAUCACUCCCCCACCCCGAUUGCUCGCCCAGAGCUCACCGACGGCGAUCCCCGCCGCGGAGCUCCGCCACCUCCCCGCGGGCAGCCCCCUCCCGACCUCCCCUGACCAAAUUGAGCCCACCUCUAGGUCCGCCAUCCCCUCCCCGUGCUAAGACACCUGCGCAUUGUCCAAGAACCGGGCCACCGGCGGCGAACCGCCGCCGAGCUCACUGGCGGCCAGUCCUCCCCGUGGACGGCCGGUUCACCCCCCCCCCCGUCAACCGUAAUGCCGUUCCUUCUCUCCCCCCCCCUCUCGCUGGCAAGUGGGCCCUAUGCGACGCCGUCACCCCCUCCCACGGCCGCGCCGUUCUCCCCGCUCGUGGGCCGCCGCUGGGCCGAAAGCGCCUCAACGCGCGCGCUCGCGCCCGGGGUGGGCCAAAAUUCAUGCCCCCGGCCCAGAUAAGGGGAAAUCCCUUCUCCUUUUUCUUUUCCACCCCUUUUUCCCAUUUAAUUAGUAUUCUUCAAUAUUUUAUGCACCAAAAAUUAUCCAAAGAAUUUCUAAAGAUCUCAUACAACAUUGAUGUUAGAAAAUGACACACUAUAAUUUGUAAAUCCCUGUUGAUGUAUUGUUUUAUUGCCUGUUUUCCUAGAAGAAGCGGGGAUCGUUGAUCCGGAACCCGUAGCCCCGGAAGAGGGACCAGAGCCCGAACUUCCGGAAGUAGGUCUUCUGUGCCAGGAAAGCUUCGACGAAGGCAAGUCCAUCCUUCCCUUGAUGCAUAAAUUACCUAUUCUCUCUACCACUGCCUAGGCCGGGAGCUAUGGGGGAAUAUUGCAUUGUGAGUAAGAGAUGGCCCGCAUUAACAUAUUAUUUCCGAUUACGAAAUGUGGAUCUGGAAGUAGGGCAAAGUGUUUCUUCAAAUAAAACCUCUUUCUGAAAAGUUAUACGAUGAAGGGUACUCACCCUCAUCACCUUGAGAGUGGGAUGAUCAGGGACUCCCUGGUUUAGGGGAGGGCCUAAGGUGUUGACUCAGUUGGUUUAGGCGUGAGCAGAAGGAUUGUCCCCUCAUAUAAGGACCGGUUUGUCAUUUUUUCACUACCUGUACUCCUUUAUCGUACAACCACUCGAGACUGUGUGGGCAGUCACUCAAUCCGAACUCGUGCGGUCCAACCCCAGGGUUAAGAAGGCUGGGGAGCACCGGGAGGAUAAGGAGGGGGAAAGUUUUGUCCGGUUUGGGCAUGGUGGUGGCCUGACUCCUUCCGGAUAACCGUUAAGGUUAGGAUGCACGAGUAAGGAAAGAGAUCCGGCAUUCGGGUCUCGCGACGGUGAGAUCGCAGAAACCGGGCUAGUGGGUAAAGUGUACCCCUCUGCACAGAGUUGAAACCUAUUCGAAUAGUCCGUGUCCACUGGUAUGGAUGAGUCUGGUGUGGUAUGACAAUUAGCACUUUUUCUCUAAGUUUCUUAUCAAGGAAAAGGUGUGUUUAAAUGGGUUUUGAAAAAGAAAAUGAAGCCACGGGAGCAGGAAGCUCAGUGGUGGUUGAGUUUUUGGUUACUGGUAAUACCACGGGAAAACCUUCAAGCAACUGCCUCUCUCUAAGAAAAUGAUGAGCGACUACAACUCCACCAAAUUGAGCAUGUACAUCGUAGGUCUCUUUCUCUCUACGGGAGCGGGGUGGGCUUGCGGAAUACCUAGUGUAUUCACCCAGAUUUAUUUAUGUUUUUCAGCAGCCGAGGACUUCUUUUCUGCUAUGCUUGAUUAAGAGGGCUGUGUCUGCACCCAGUUCUGCCUGUGGUUUGGGCUAGUGUAUUUUCCUACUACGCUUCUCUAUUUGGCUCUCUCUCUCUCGAGCUUGUACCCCGGUAUUGUAAUAAAUUUAUCUAAACUCUGUACUAUUUGAAGUAAGGAAUGUGUUUACUAGCCUCCUGGGACUAGUAAUUGUAUCACAUUUGAGUCCCAAAGGAUCGGGACGCUUCAGAACUCUUCUUCAAGCUGGACUGGCUCUUGUAGCUCCUCAGAGGGCGGUGGUGCUGGCGGGGUGCUUGCAGCUUCUUCCUUGACCUCAAGGGACGGUACUAGAAUCUUCUUCAUGACGAGGGGCUCAAACAACUCUAGCGGGGGAUCUUGGGAGGAUUUAGGGUGCUCUUGCUUAUCCAUAGCCUUAGGGGAGACUGGAAUUCCUUCCAAGACUAUGGCUCCUUCCGGGAGUUCCCAAGCCUUCUUCUCUCCUCUGAUAGAGACCGGGUGACCUUCAAGAAUCUGGGGGUCUUUAGCUUUGAUGGGUUGAACAGGGUUGGAUGGAGCGGGCUCUUGGAUCCACAGGGCUCUAUGUUGGUUAUGGGUUACCAAGUAGGCCUCCAUCAGCUUCUGGACAUGCUCAUCCUUGGCUUGCUUCAGGGCUUCAACAGCAAUGACUUCACGACUUUCCAAGGCAGCUACAUGGGCUUGAGCUGUGAUGAGAUCCACAUGGAGCUGACGGUUACUCUUCUCUGCAUCUUCUGCUCGGGCAAUCAUCUGACGGUGGUGCCGAGCUGAAAGUCGCCUAGAGGGGGGGUGAAUAGGGCGAAACUGAAAUUUACAAAUAUAAACACAACUACAAGCCGGGUUAGCGUUAGAAAUAUAAUAGAGUCUGCGAGAGAGGGUGCAAAACAAAUCGCAAGCGAAUAGUGAAGUGAGACACGCGGAUUUGUUUUACCGAGGUUCGGUUCUCUCAAACCUACUCCCCAUUGAGGAGGCCACAAAGGCCGGGUCUUUUUCAACCCCUUCCCUCUCUCAAACGGUCCCUUGGACCGAGUGAGCUUUCUCUUCUCAAUCACUUGGAACACAAAGUUCCUACAUGGACCACCACAAGAUUGGUGUCUCUUGCCUCAAUUACAAGUGAGUUUGAUCGUAAGAAAGAAUCAAGAAAGAAGAAAGCAAUCCAAGCGCAAGAGCUCGAAAGAACAAAAGCAAAUCUCUCUCACUAGUCACUAAAGCUUUGUGUGGAAUUUGGGAGAGGAUUUGAUCUCUUGAGUGUGUCUAGAAUUGAAUGCCUAGCUCUUGUAAGUGGUUGGAAGUGUGAAAACUUGGAUGCAAUGAAUGGUGGGUGGUUGGGGGUAUUUAUAGCCCCAACCACCAAACUAGCUGUUUGGUGAGGCUGUCUGUCGAAUGGUGCACCGGACAGUCCGGUGCACACCGGACAUGUCCGGUGUGACAGCCACGUCACCAGACCGUUAGGGUUCCGACCGUUGGAGCUCUGACUUCUAGGCCCGCAUAGAUGUCCGGUGGCGCACCGGACAUGUACUGUAGAGUGUCCGGUGCGCCACUACGCGCGUGCCUGACUUCUGCGCGCUCUGGCGCGCAUUAAUUGCUGUUGCAGGUGACCGUUGGCGCGAAGUAGCAGUUGCCCCGUAGUUACACCGGACAGUCCGGUGUACACCGGACAUGUCCGGUGAAUUAUAGCGGAGCAGUCGUUGCAGAUUCCCGAAGCAGGCGAGUUCCUGAGGCCGCUCUUCCUUGGAGCACCGGACACUGUCCGGUGUACACCGGACAGUCCGGUGAAUUAUAGCGGAGUUGCCUCUGGAAUUUCCAGAAGGCGACGAGUUUGAGUUGAAGUCCUCUGGUGCACCGGACACUGUCCGGUGGCACACCGGACAGUCCGGUGCGCCAGACCAGAGGUGCCUUCGGUUGCCCCUUUGCUCUUUUGUUGAACCCAAUACUUGGUCUUUUUAUUGGCUAAGUGUGAACCUUUGGCACCUGUAUUACUUGUACACUAGAGCAAACUAGUUAGUCCAAUUAUUUGUGUUGGGCAAUUCAACCACCAAAAUUAUUUAGGAACCAGGUGUAAGCCUAAUUCCCUUUCAAUCUCCCCCUUUUUGGUGAUUGAUGCCAACACAAACCAAAGCAAAUAUAGAAGUGCAUAAUUGAACUAGUUUGCAUAAUGUAAGUGCAAAGGUUGCUUAGAAUCGAGCCAAUACUUACAAGAUAGGCAUGGAUUGUUUCUUCAUUUUUAACAUUUUGGACCACGCUUGCACCACAUAUUUCGUUUUUGCAAAUUCUUUUAUAAAUCCUUUUCAAAGUUCUUUUGCAAAUAGUCAAAGGUAAAUGAAUAAGAUUUUACGAAGCAUUUUCAAGUUUGAAAUUUUCUCCCCCUGUUUCAAAUGCUUUUUCUUUGACUAAAACAAAACUCCCCCUAAAUGAGAUCCUCCUCUUAGUGUGGGUUUUAAGAUAUCAAUUUUGAAAGUACUACUUUCUCCCCUUUAAUACAUAAAGAGAUACCAAUUUGAAAUUUACCAAUUGAAAAUUAUUAAUUUUAAAAUUAGGGUGGUGGUGCGGUCCUUUUGCUUUGGGCUCAUAUUUUCUCCCCCUUUGGCAUGAAUCGCCAAAAACGGAAUCAUUAGAGCCCUUCGAAGUACUUUCUCCUCCUUUGGUCAUAAAAUAAAUGAGUGAACAUUAUACCAAAGUUGGAGAGAUGCUCGGAGUGACGGCGAAGGAUGAGUUGUGGAGUGGAGUGGAAGCCUUUGUCUUCGCCGAAGACUCCAAUUCCCUUUCAAUAUACCUAUGACUUGGUUUGAAAUAGACUUGAAAACACAUUAGUCAUAGCAUAUAUAAAAGAGACAUGAUCAAAGGUAUACUUAUGAGCUAUGUGUGCAAGUUUAGCAAAAGAAGUUCCUAGAAUCAAGAACAUUGAGCUCGUGCCUAAGUUUGGUAAAAGUUUGUUCAUCAAGAGGCUUGGUAAAGAUAUUGGCUAAUUGAUCUUUAGUGUUAAUGUAUGCAAUCUCGAUAUCCCCCUUUUGUUGGUGAUCCCUAAGAAAAUGAUACCGAAUGGCUAUGUGUUUAGUGCGGCUAUGCUCAACGGGAUUAUCCGCCAUGCGGAUUGCACUCUCAUUAUCACAUAGAAGAGGAACUUUGGUUAAUUUGUAACCAUAGUCCCGCAGGGUUUGCCUCAUCCAAAGCAAUUGCGCGCAACAAUGGCCUGUGGCAAUAUACUCGGCUUCAGCGGUAGAAAGAGCGACCGAAUUUUGCUUCUUUGAAGCCCAAGACACCAAGGAUCUUCCCAAGAACUGGCAAGUCCCCGAUGUGCUCUUUCUAUUAAUCUUACACCCUGCCCAAUCGGCAUCCGAAUAACCAAUCAAAUCAAAUGUGGAUCCCCGAGGGUACCAAAGCCCAAACUUAGGAGUAUAAGCCAAAUAUCUCAAGAUUCGUUUUACGGCUGUAAGGUGGGAUUCCUUAUGGUCGGAUUGGAAUCUUGCACACAUGCAAACGGAAAGCAUAAUGUCCGGUCGAGAUGCACAUAAAUAAAGUAAUGAACCAAUCAUCGACCGGUAUACCUUUUGAUCGACAGAUUUACCUCUCGUGUCGAGGUCGAGAUGCCCAUUAGUUCCCAUGGGUGUCUUGAUGGGCUUGGCAUCCUUCAUUCCAAACUUGGUUAGAAUGUCUUGAGUGUACUUCGUUUGGCUAAUGAAGGUGCCCUCUUGGAGUUGCUUGACUUGGAAUCCUAGAAAAUACUUCAACUCCCCCAUCAUAGACAUCUCGAAUUUUUGUGUCAUGAUCCUACUAAAUUCUUCACAUGUAGAUUCGUUAGUAGACCCAAAUAUAAUAUCAUCAACAUAAAUUUGGCAUACAAACAAAUCAUUGUCAAGAGUUUUAGUGAAUAAAGUAGGAUCGGCCUUGCCGACUUUGAAGCCAUUAGCAAUAAGGAAAUCUCUAAGGCAUUCAUACCAUGCUCUUGGGGCUUGCUUGAGCCCAUAAAGCGCCUUAGAGAGCCUAUAAACAUGGUUAGGGUACUCACUAUCUUCAAAGCCGGGAGGUUGCUCAACAUAGACCUCUUCCUUGAUUGGUCCAUUGAGGAAGGCACUCUUCACGUCCAUUUGGUAAAGCUUGAAGCCAUGGUAAGUAGCAUAGGCUAAUAAUAUGCAAAUUGACUCAAGCCUAGCUACGGGUGCAUAGGUUUCACCAAAAUCCAAACCUUCGACUUGUGAAUACCCCUUGGCCACGAGUCGAGCUUUAUUCCUUGUCACCACACCAUGCUCGUCUUGCUUGUUGCGGAAGACCCACUUGGUUCCUACAACAUUUUGAUUAGGACGUGGAACUAAAUGCCAUACCUCGUUCCUAGUGAAGUUGUUGAGCUCCUCUUGUAUCGCCAUCACCCAAUCCGAAUCUUGAAGUGCUUCCUCUACCCUGUGUGGCUCAAUAGAGGAAACAAAAGAGUAAUGCUCACAAAAAUGUGCAACACGAGAUCGAGUGGUUACCCCCUUAUGAAUGUCGCCGAGGAUGGUGUCGACGGGGUGAUCUCGUUGGAUUGCUUGAUGGACUCUUGGGUGUGGCGGCCUUGGUUCUUCAUCCUCCUUGUCUUGAUCAUUUGCAUCUCCCCCUUGAUCGUUGUCGUCAUCUUGAGGUGGCUCAUCUCUUUGAUCUUCUUUUUCAUCAACUUGAGCCUCGUCCUCAUUUUGAGUUGGUGGAGAUGCUUGCGUGGAGGAGGAUGGUUGAUCUUGUGUAUGUGGAGGCUCUUCGAAUUCCUUAGGACACACAUCCCCAAUGGACAUGUUCCUUAGCGCAAUGCACGGAGCCUGUUCUUCACCUAUCUCAUCAAGAUCAACUUGCUCUACCUGAGAGCCGUUAGUCUCAUCAAACACAACGUCACAAGAAACUUCAACUAGUCCUGAGGACUUGUUAAAGACUCUAUAUGCCCUUGUGUUUGAAUCAUAUCCUAGUAAAAAGCCUUCUACAGUCUUAGGAGCAAAUUUAGAUUUUCUACCUCUUUUAACAAGAAUAAAGCAUUUGCUACUAAAGACUCUAAAAUAUGAAAUAUUGGGCUUUUUACCGGUUAGGAGUUCAUAGGAUGUCUUCUUGAGGAUUCGGUGCAGAUAUAACCGGUUGAUGGCGUAGCAGGCGGUGUUGACCGCCUCGGCCCAAAACCGAUCCGAUGUCUUGUACUCAUCAAGCAUGGUUCUUGCCAUGUCCAAUAGAGUUCGAUUCUUCCUCUCUACUACACCAUUUUGUUGUGGCGUGUAGGGAGAGAAGAACUCAUGCUUGAUGCCCUCCUCCUCAAGAAAGCCUUCUAUUUGUGAGUUCUUGAACUCCGUCCCGUUGUCGCUUCUAAUUUUCUUGAUCCUUAAGCCGAACUCAUUUUGAGCCCGUCUCAAGAAUCCCUUUAGGGUCUCUUGGGUAUGGGAUUUUUCCUGCAAAAAGAACACCCAAGUGAAGCGAGAAUAAUCAUCCACAAUAACUAGACAGUACUUACUCCUGCCGAUCCUUAUGUAAGCAAUCUGGCCGAAUAGAUCCAUGUGUAGGAGCUCCAGUGGUCUGUCACUUGUCAUGAUGUUCUUGUGUGGAUGAUGAGUGCCAACUUGCUUUCCUGCUUGGCAUGCGCUAUAAACCCUGUCUUUCUCAAAAUGAACAUUGGUUAAUCCUAGAAUGUGCUCUUCCUUUAGAAGCUUAUGAAGAUUCUUCAUCCCAACGUGGGCUAGUCGGCGAUGCCAGAGCCAACCCAUGUUAGUCUUAGCAAUUAAGCAUGUGUCGAGUUCAGCUCUAUCAAAAUCUACCAAGUAUAGCUGACCCUCUAACACACCCUUAAAUGCUAUUGAAUCAUCACUUCUUCUAAAGACAGUGACACCUACAUCAGUAAAGAGACAGUUGUAGCCCAUUUGACAUAAUUGAGAUACAGAAAGCAAAUUGUAAUCUAAAGAAUCUACAAGAAAAACAUUGGAAAUAAUAUGGUCAGGUGAUAUAGCAAUUUUACCCAAUCCUUUGACCAAACCUUGAUUUCCAUCCCCGAAUGUGAUAGCUCGUUGGGGAUCUUGGUUUUUCUCAUAUGAGGAGAACAUCUUCUUCUCCCCUGUCAUGUGGUUUGUGCACCCGCUGUCGAGUAUCCAACUUGAGCCCCCGGAUGCAUAAACCUACAAAACAAUUUUAGUUCUUGACUUUAGGUACCCAAACGGUUUUGGGUCCUUUGGCAUUAGAAACAAGAACUUUGGGUACCCAAACACAAGUCUUUGAGCCCUUGUGUUUGCCCCCAACAAACUUGGCAACUACCUUGCCGGAUUUGUUAGUCAAAACAUAAGAUGCAUCAAAAGUUUUGAAUGAAAUGUCAUGAUCAUUUGAUGCAUUAGGAGUUUUCUUUUUAGGCAACUUAGCACGGGUUGGUUGCCUAGAGCUAGAUGUCUCACCCUUAUACAUAAAAGCAUGGUUAGGGCCAGAGUGAGACUUCCUAGAAUGAAUUCUCCUAAUUUUGCUCUCGGGAUAAUCGGCAGGGUACAAAAUGUAACCCUCGUUAUCCUGAGGCAUGGGAGCCUUGCCCUUAACAAAGUUAGACAAAUUUCUAGGAGGGGCAUUAAGUUUGACAUUGUCUCUGUUGGGGACUUGUUCUCAAAUGCUAAGAAUUAAGAACAAAGCAACAUAAAAAGUGUUAAGUGUUAAAGUCCUUCGUCCUUCGAAGCAUUAUGUCCCUUCGGGAAAUAAUGAGUUUCGGACGAAGGUCAUAAGAGACAUACCUUCGUAAACAUAACAAGUAAUGACGAAGGAUUCAUAUAAAGCAUGAAAUAUAAUAUAAGCAUCAUCAUAGAAUCAUUUCUAUUUUAUUAACAUGGAAAAAUAGAAAUGAUUUCAAAUUACAAAUGUACCUUCGGUCCUGAGAGAAGAUAAAAAGUACAAGCGUGACGCAAAAGCAAAUGCCAAGUCAGCGUGAACAGUACGGGAGUACUGUUCAUCUAUUUAUAGACGCGGGACGCAGCCCACGUAAAAUUACAUUUAUGUCCAUUACAUUUGUCAAUGACUUAUGGAAACCUGACAAGGUCCACGUAGUCUUUUCAUCUUUAAGUCGGUUCCCCUCUCUGCUAUCGCGACGAAGCUUCCCUGCGCACAGCUUCGGCUGUGCACCAUCCUUCGUGGAGCUUGGUAAUCAGCCCGUCCUUCGUCUGGUUCAGGCUUCGUCCUGACCGCACUUCAUGUUCGUAAUUCUGAGUCCGAAGGUACCUGUUCACAUAAUCCACUUGGAAAACAUUGUCAAAUCAUGUUUUUGAGGACCUUCGGAGGACGAAGGCCCCCAACAGUAGCCCCUCGCAAUAUUAAUUUGUUUGAAAUAAUAAAUUCAGAUUGCGAUAUGAACGAAGGCUUUAUGCCGAAGGUCCGAAAAAACACCUUCCCUUUGCUAGAAUAGCAACAUUCAAUGACAAGUGGGGUCUUUCAACUUUCAACGCAUCAAGCGUAUAAAUACGGCCAUACCGCAAACUUAUUUUGCACGCUUUCUGGCCAACCACUCUUGCUCACUCAUUUUUUAGCUCUUGUGCACUGUGAUCUGCUAAGCCUUUAGCUUUGAAGCUUCGGCUUUGAAAACAGUUUUUUAGUGUUUCCGAAGAUGUCUGAAGCUGCUAAGAAGGCUGCUGCUGAAAUGAAGCUGAGUCUUGAUGAAGAGAAGAACUUAGGGUUUCUUAUAGCAAUGUCGAAGACCAACACAGAAAAGAUCACCAGGGAAAUUCUGGAAGGGCUGUCUGAAGAUACUGGUGACAGUGAAAGUUAUGAUGUGGACAGCGGUGGCGAAGACUCCGAAGAUCGCCCCUGGCGACCAAGCCAUUCAGUUUAUGGUAAAUCAACUAUCAAAGAGAAUCAUCUUGUUAAUAUGAGAGGAAGGUAUUUCCGGGAUCUGUCCAUUGUGAGGGCGGACGAAGGGGAAAAGACUUGUCCACACCCUGAAGAAAAUGAAGUUGUGGUGUACCGAAGCUUUUUGAAAGCCGGAUUGCGAUUCCCCUUGAGCAGCUUCGUCGUGGAGGUGUUGAAAAUCUUCGAAGUCUAUCUUCAUCAACUUACUCCAGAGGCUAUUAUAAGGCUAAAUAUCUUCGUGUGGGCCACGAGAAGCCAAGGUCUGAAGCCUGACGCAAGAAGCUUCUGUAAUGUUCAUGAAUUGUUAUAUGAAACAAAACCUUGGGGCAAAGAACAGUACCAUAACAACUUUGGCUGCUACAGCUUCGUCUCUCGGUCCGGGGCAAGCUGUCCCGUACCAACCUUUCGGAAGAGAUGGCCCGGGGAUUGGAUGACAGAAUGGUUUUAUGUGAAGAAUGACUUAUCAGCACGAGAAGACAUCAAAGGUAUAAUUAUGCGUCCUAUUUGGCAAAGCUUCGGCCUUCGGAGGCCGAAGGUUGAAAUGAACGAAGCCGCCGAAGAGUGCCAAAUAGCCUUCGGCGUUGUCUGCUCUUUUAUAGGAACAAGGGACUUAGUACAAGAGCAUAUUGCCUUCAGGGUGUGGCCGCUUGCGGAGAAAUGGGAAAUGCCACAAGAAAUCGUUAAAAAGGCCGACGAAGGUGGACUCGUCAGGUUUAAGUACACUUUUAAAUUUGAAGAUAAAUUUAUUGAGCCAGACGAUGAGUGGUUGAAAAGCAUUGACAAUUUAAGUGAUGAGCUGCUUGGGACAUACUCGAAGGCCGAAGAUACUGCAAUGUCAGCAGCCUUCGGAGGCCGAAAAAAGAAAAGGCUGAAUCGGGUAUUUGAUGCCUUCGGGUUUGUCUACCCUGACUAUUGCUACCCCAUUCGAAGGCAGAAGAGAAAAAAUACAACCUCUGCAAAAGAAGAAACUGCAGCUGCUCCUAGCGAGCCAGAACCGAAAAGGAAGAAGAUAAAGGUUCUUACUUAUCGACCGCGUUAUAUUGAACCAGCUUCGGUGCCUGAGUUUACCGGAGAGACUUCUUCGGCCACCGAAGCUGAAAAACCAGCCGAGCCAACUUUGCUGCCAGAAGUCACAGAAACAGCCGAAAUACCAACGAAGACAAAAUUGGAGCAAUCAAAAAUUUUGUUAUCAGAAACGAAAGAGAAGGCCGAAGCGCCAUUCACAGAAAAAAUGGAAGAGGUAAAGGAAGCAACCGAGGACUCCAAAACAUCAGAAGUUUUGAGUCCUGUGGCAAACAUUGAAACAGUAAGUAAUCAAAAAGUGCCAGCAGUGACUCCGAAAAGAAGGAGAAUGGCUAAUGUGCUAGAUGUGCUGGAAACGAUCAAAUCUUCAAGCACCCCUCCGAAGAAGGCUGCCGUCACUCCUGAAACAACAGUCGAAGCUUCGGGUUCUAAAGCUCCAGAGCAAGAUACUGAAGCCGAAGCUGGGCCCUCAGAGCCCUCAAAGGCAAAGACCUUGGAAAGUGAGGCAGAAAAAAUAACAAAGCCAACUUUUGCUGAAGGAACUGGUGUUGUUACCCCCCGAAGCAUCCAAAAUUCGUGAUUAUAUUUUUCGUCAUGCUUCGGGGAAAAAAUUAACAGAAAAAGAAGAACAAGAGGCCCAACACUAUGCCCAAAAGUUGAAAUAUCCAAAGGGGGCGUUGAUAUUUAAUGGCAGUGGAGAAGAAGAUUUCUUGUAUUGCCUCCCCGACAGCAAGGAAAUUUCUGUCUGUCGGGAGAUGAGCAGAAGCUUCGGAUUUCCAACUUUAGAAGACGGACUUUCGGUGCUGUCAAAGAACGAUCUGGCUGACAGCCUAGCUUACAACAGUUUAAAGGUGCGACAAAUGGAAUUCUUAUAUUUUUGUUGAAUUCAAAAUUUUUCGUUUGUUUAAAACUAUUAACACAGACAUAUUCCUGUCUGCAGGGCCUGAUACUCAGCAAUGCCCUCAGAGCACAGAAAGAUGCUGAGGACGAAGGAUGUACUAUAGCCCUGAGCAACCUUCGUUCCGAAGUAAUUGAACUGAGGAACGAAGGUCUCGAAAAAGACAAAAUAUUGCAUUCCUUAAUAAAUAAAAUAAAAGAAGACGAAGCUAUUUUCAAAGGUCAGACCGAAGCUCAGAAGUGUGAAAUUGAAAACCUUCGUAAACAAUUAGCCAGAGCUAAAGAGGAAUGCAUACUUGAAGAAACAAGGCGAGAACUCAGCGACCAAUGGGCAAAUCAUUUAGAAGAAACUGUUAAAGAGCUUCGGUCAGCCAAGAAGAAAUGCUUCGACAAAUCUAUAGAGUGUGUCAAGAAAAUAAAAACUAGCUUCGCCAGCGUUGGCGCAUUUUCGCAAGAAGAAAACUUUAUAAGAGGUAACCCCGAAGGUCCCCUGGAAUGGAUCAAUCAUGAGGCGGAGGCCUUCGAGGAAAUCCUGAGUAGCCGCGGUGACAUCUGCGCUUUUUCUGGUGCCAGAGGGAUUGCCACUAUUUUGGAGGGGAAAGGAUGUGAACAUGUAAAGAUUUUAUCGCAGUCCGAAGCCACCUUGUCCACUGAAGAUAUAAAAGAUUCUUCAGCCGAAGCUAGCGCGGUUGGGGGAAAAUUUUUCACCGACAUCUGGGACAACGGUGGUAGAGAAAUGGCCCAAGAAAUCAUUCAGAAAAGCGAGAAAGGGAUUCAUGAGGCUAGAAAAGUAGCCGAGGCUGCUGAGAAAAACGCAGAGCCCGAAGGGCAAAUAGGUACUAGCGAAUAGUUUUCAUUGCAUUAUAACUUUUAAUUUUAUAGUUCGUUCGCGAUCUGUAAUAAUGAUGUAAUAGUAUCCCGUCCUCACUCAGAUCCUACUAAAGCAUCUUCGGGCCCUCAGCCUAAAGAUGACGACGAAAUUAAAAAGAUGGCCGAAGCUAUCAUGGAUCAGGUUGUCGAUCGACUGCUGAACGAAGCUGCAGAGAUAGUACUUAGAGAAGACUAAGUGCUAUUGCAAAAAACAUUUGAUAUAUGAUUUGUGUAAUAUUCUGUAAUCCUGUAUGUAAUAUACUUGUUUUAUGAUUCAAUUCUUUACGAUGCAUGAAACUUUAAACACGUACCAUUUUUGAGUCUUCGACGAAAAAACACCUUCCCUUCUUUUCAUGCUUCGUGAAGAAGAAUUUAUCAUUUAUCACGACAAUAUCCAUAGUGUUCUGAUAAGAAAUAUCCAAGCUUCGUAAAAAUAAUCUCCGAAGCUAUACCUCGAAAAUCAAUAUUGUUUCUCCCUGUAACUUGGCAUGAUUUGCCCUUUUUUCAAAGCAUUUUCCGAAGAUCGAUAACAUGCCCCCUUCUUGUGCCACAUGCAGCAUGAUGUAUGAUGAUUAUGCUAUGCAAAAUGAUGUGAUGAUGUUAUGUUAUGCAAAAUGAUAUUUUGUGCCGAAGAUACGCACAUUCCUGCAAUGGGGCACAAUCUUUUGUAUCAAUACUGACUUUUUCAUUAUAAGCCUCCCUUAGGAGCUUCUUCGCCUUUUACUUCAGCGGAAUCAGCGUUUAUUUUUCGCUGUAAGUUCUGCAUCCCCUUAGGAACGUCUUUGGAACUUCUUCGCCUUUUACUUAGGCGGUAUAAGCUCUGCAUUCCCUUAGGAACGUCUUUGGAGCUUCUUCGCCUUUUACUUAGGCGGUAUCAGCGUUGACUUUUCGCUGUAUGCUCUGCAUUCCUUUUGGAACGACUUUGGAGCAGAAAACUUACACUGCGCUCCCUUCGGAACGACUUUUUGUGACUUCGUCAGACUUACUCUGCGUUCCUUAGAACGACUUUUUGUUUCUUCGAAGGAUUUUCGAUAGUCCGAAGGUCCUUUUUAUUAUCACAAACCUGUGAAGAAAACAUAUUUUUCUUGUAGGAAUCAACGAAACUAAUUACAUGAAACCUAAACAAUGUCCUUUAUUACAAAAAAUAAAACUGAAUGAAAAAGAUUGCUAUUAAGGUAGGAUAUUUGUCAAUAGAUGUGUUUUGACUCUGGCACGGUGCUGUUGACCGUGCGAGCUUCGGACUGUUCUCUGAAGUCCCUUUGAUGUGGAGCAUAUUGGCUCCCUUCUGGCUGCUGGCCUUGUUGUAACGGAGGUGGAGGCGGGGGCUGUUGCCAGGAAGCUGAAGGCUGACUUGCCGAAGCAGCAGAGAGUGCAGGAUGGUUGCCCACAUAUUCUGGGAUGUAGGGCGAAUGAUACAAAGCAGUGUGCAUGACCUGCUUCGGCUGAGCCUGUUGCGCGGCAGCUUCGGCUAUCUCUUUUUGCUUCUGAAUGGUAACAUGACACAUCCUGGUAGUAUGACCUUUGUUUUCACCACAGAAUAAGCAAAAUAUUCUUCUGGGUUGAUCCCCGAAUCUUCCGCCGAAGCCCCUGGCGCCUCUGCCUCUUGGAGCUGGUGGUCGGAAGGAGCUUUGCUGUUGCCCCGAAGCCUGUGAGGAGCACUGCGGUCUGUUCUGCUGACUCCCCUUAUCAUCAUUCUGAGUGGAGUUGUGGAUGGACCUGACAUGCCUCGGAUAGGAUCUUCCUCCGAAGCCACUGGUCAUUUCGGAAAAUCUGAAGGCCUCCUCCCUUCUUUGGCGAAAGUCAUUGUCAGCACGAAUGUACUCGUCCAUCUUUUGGAGCAGCUUCUCCAGGGUCUGAGGAGGCUUCCUAGCAAAGUAUUGAGCAGCAGGUCCAGGACGAAGCCCCUUGAUCAUGGCUUCGGUGACAAUUUCAUUGGGCACCGUUGGUGCCUGCGCCCUCAAACGCAAGAACCUUCUGACAUACGCCUGAAGGUAUUCUUCAUGAUCCUGAGUGCACUGGAACAAGGCUUGAGCAGUGACCGGCUUCGUCUGAAAUCCUUGAAAGCUGGUCAAUAACAUAUCCUUCAGCUUCUGCCAUGAAGUGAUCGUUCCUGGCCGAAGGGAGGAAUACCAGGUCUGAGCAACACUCCUGACGGCCAUAACGAAAGACUUUGCCAUUACUGCAGCAUUGCCACCAUACGAAGACACUGUUGCUUCGUAACUCAUCAAGAACUGCUUCGGGUCCGAAUGGCCAUCGAACAUGGGAAGCUGGGGUGGCUUAUAGGACGAAGGCCAAGGUGUAGCCUGCAGCUCAGCGGACAGAGGAGAAGCAUCGUCGAAAACAAAAUUUCCAUGAUGAAAAUUAUCAUACCAGUCAUCUUCAUUGAAGAAGCCCUCCUGAUGAAGGUCUUUUUGUUGAGGCCUUCGGUUCUGCUCAUCGUGGGUAAGAUGACGGACUUCUUCAGAAGCUUCGUCUAUCUGCCUCUGCAGCUCAGCUAGCCUGGCCAUCUUCUCCUUCUUCCUCUGCACCUGUUGAUGUAGCAUCUCCAUGUCCCUGAUCUCUUGGUCUAGUUCAUCCUCCUGAAUCGUCGGGCUGACAGCCUUCCUCUUCUGGUUUCGGGCCUCCCAGAGAGAGACGGUCUCCUGGUUGGGGUCCAGCGGUUGCAGUGCUGCAGCCCCAGUCGCUGAAGCUUUCUUCGGUGCCAUAGCGAGGGUCUAUAGCUUCCGAAGGUGUUCAAAAAACUCGAAGUGGAAGUGAGUUCACCCACGGUGGGCGCCAAUGUUGGGGACUUGUUCUCAAAUGCUAAGAAUUAAGAACAAAGCAACAUAAAAAGUGUUAAGUGUUAAAGUCCUUCGUCCUUCGAAGCAUUAUGUCCCUUCGGGAAAUAAUGAGUUUCGGACGAAGGUCAUAAGAGACAUACCUUCGUAAACAUAACAAGUAAUGACGAAGGAUUCAUAUAAAGCAUGAAAUAUAAUAUAAGCAUCAUCAUAGAAUCAUUUCUAUUUUAUUAACAUGGAAAAAUAGAAAUGAUUUCAAAUUACAAAUGUACCUUCGGUCCUGAGAGAAGAUAAAAAGUACAAGCGUGACGCAAAAGCAAAUGCCAAGUCAGCGUGAACAGUACGGGAGUACUGUUCAUCUAUUUAUAGACGCGGGACGCAGCCCACGUAAAAUUACAUUUAUGUCCAUUACAUUUGUCAAUGACUUAUGGAAACCUGACAAGGUCCACGUAGUCUUUUCAUCUUUAAGUCGGUUCCCCUCUCUGCUAUCGCGACGAAGCUUCCCUGCGCACAGCUUCGGCUGUGCACCAUCCUUCGUGGAGCUUGGUAAUCAGCCCGUCCUUCGUCUGGUUCAGGCUUCGUCCUGACCGCACUUCAUGUUCGUAAUUCUGAGUCCGAAGGUACCUGUUCACAUAAUCCACUUGGAAAACAUUGUCAAAUCAUGUUUUUGAGGACCUUCGGAGGACGAAGGCCCCCAACAGUCUCCCCUUUGGAAGCCAAUGCCAUCCUUGAUGCCAGGGCGUCUCCCAUUAUAGAGCAUACUUCUAGCAAAUUUAAACUUUUCAUUUUCUAAGUUAUGCUCGGCAAUUUUAGCAUCUAAUAUUGCUAUAUGAUCAUUUUGUUGUUUAAUUAAAGCCAUGUGAUCAUGAAUAGCAUUGAUAUCAAUAUCUCUACAUCUAGUACAAAUAGAAGUGUGCUCAACGGUAGAUGUAGAGGGUUUGCAAGAUUUUAAUUCUACAACCUUAGCAUGCAACAUAUCAUUCUUAGUUCUAAGGUCGGAAAUAGUAGUAUUGCAAACAUCAAAAUCUUUAGCCUUAGCAAUUAACUUUUCAUUUUCAAUCCUAAGGCUAUCAAGAGAAAUAUUCAAUUCAUCAAUCCUAGCAAGCAAAUCAACAUUAUCAUCUCUAGGAUUGGAAAUUGAAUCAAUACAAACAUGGGAAUCAACCUUAGCAAUUAAUUUAGCAUUUUCAUUUCUAAGGUUGUCAAUGGUCUCAUGGCAAGUGCUUAGCUCACUAGACAAUUUUUCACAUUUUUCAACUUGUAGAGCAUAAGCAUUUUUAACCUUAACAUGUUUUUUGUCUUCCUUAAUAAGGAAGUCCUCUUGAGAGUCCAAGAGAUCAUCCUUCUCAUGAAUAGCACUAAUCAAUUCAUUUAAUUUUUCCUUUUGUUCCAUGUUAAGAUUGGCAAAAAGGGUACGCAAGUUAUCCUCCUCAUCACUAGCAUUUUCAUCACUAGAAGACUCAUAUCUAGUGGAGGAUUUAGAUUUAACCUUCUUCUUUUUGCCGUCCUUUGCCAUGAGGCACUUGUGGCCGACGUUGGGGAAGAGGAGUCCCUUGGUGACGGCGAUGUUGGCGGCGUCCUCGUCGGAGGAGGACUCGGUGGAGCUCUCGUCGGAGUCCCACUCGCGGCAUACGUGGGCAUCGCCGCCCUUCCUCUUGUGGUACCUCUUCUUUUCUCUCCUCUUGCCCUUCUUGUCAUUAUCCCUGUCACUGUCACUUGAUAAAGGACAUUUAGCAAUAAAGUGACCGGGCUUACCACACUUGUAGCAAACCUUCUUGGAACGGGAUUUGUAAUCCUUCCCCUUCCGUUGCUUGAGGAUUUGACGAAAGCUUUUGAUGAUUAAAGCCAUCUCCUCAUUGUCAAGCUUGGAGGCGUCAAUUGGUUGUCUACUUGGUGUAGACUCCUCCUUCUUUUCCUCCGUCGCCUUAAAUGCCACCGGUUGUGCUUCGGACGUGGAGGGUUCGUCAAGCUCGUUGAUCUUCUUUGAGCCUUUAAUCAUACACUCAAAGCUCACAAAAUUCCCGAUUACUUCCUCGGGAGUCAUUAGUGUAUAUCUAGGAUUACCACGAAUUAAUUGAACUUGAGUGGGGUUAAGGAAAAUAAGUGAUCUUAAAAUAACCUUAACCACCUCAUGGUCGUCCCACUUCUUGCUCCCGAGGUUGCGCACUUGGUUCACCAAGGUUUUGAGCCGGUUGUACAUAUCUUGUGGCUCCUCCCCUUGGCGAAGACGGAAGCGACCGAGCUCCCCCUCGAUCGUUUCCCGCUUGGUGAUCUUUGUGAGUUCAUCACCCUCGUGCGCGGUCUUGAGUAAGUCCCAAAUCUCCUUUGCAUUCUUCAACCCUUGCACCUUGUUGUAUUCCUCCUUACUUAGAGAGGCGAGGAGUAUGGUUGUGGCUUGGGAGUUGAAGUGCUCGAUUUGGGCCACCUCAUCCUCAUCAUAAUUUUCAUCCCUUACGGAUGGUACCUGUGCACCAAACUCAACAACAUCCCAUAUACUUUUGUGGAGCGAGGUUAGAUGAAAUCGCAUUAAAUCACUCCACCUAGCAUAAUCUUCACCAUCAAAAGUUGGUGGUUUGCCUAAUGGGACGGAAAGUAAAGGUGUAUGUUUAGAAAUGCGAGGGUAGCAUAGGGGAAUCUUACUAUACUUCUUGCUCUCUUGGCGCUUAGAAGUGACGGAUGCCGCGUCGGAGCCGGAGGUGGAUGUUGAUGAAGAAUCGGUCUCGUAGUAGACCACCUUCCUCAUCCUCUUCUUCUUGUCCCCACUCCGAUGCGGCUUGUGGGAAGAAGAUUUCUCCUUCUUCUCUUUGUGGUGAGAAGAGGAUUUCUUCUCCUUCCCUUUGGAGUGUGAAGAAGACUUCUUCCCUUUGGAGGAGUCCUUCUUCUUCUCCUUCCUCUUGGUGCGGGACUCUUCCGAUGAAGUGCUCCUGUGACUCGUAGUGGGCUUGUUGCCGGUCUCCAUCUCCCUCUUGGUGUGAUCUCCCGACAUCACUUCGAGCGGUUAGGCUCUAAUGAAGUACCGGGCUCUGAUACCAAUUGAAAGUCGCCUAGAGGGGGGGUGAAUAGGGCGAAACUGAAAUUUACAAAUAUAAACACAACUACAAGCCGGGUUAGCGUUAGAAAUAUAAUAGAGUCUGCGAGAGAGGGUGCAAAACAAAUCGCAAGCGAAUAGUGAAGUGAGACACGCGGAUUUGUUUUACCGAGGUUCGGUUCUCUCAAACCUACUCCCCGUUGAGGAGGCCACAAAGGCCGGGUCUUUUUCAACCCCUUCCCUCUCUCAAACGGUCCCUUGGACCGAGUGAGCUUUCUCUUCUCAAUCAUUUGGAACACAAAGUUCCUACAUGGACCACCACAAGAUUGGUGUCUCUUGCCUCAAUUACAAGUGAGUUUGAUCGUAAGAAAGAAUCAAGAAAGAAGAAAGCAAUCCAAGCGCAAGAGCUCGAAAGAACACAAGCAAAUCUCUCUCACUAGUCAAUAAAGCUUUGUGUGGAAUUUGGGAGAGGAUUUGAUCUCUUGAGUGUGUCUAGAAUUGAAUGCCUAGCUCUUGUAAGUGGUUGGAAGUGUGAAAACUUGGAUGCAAUGAAUGGUGGGUGGUUGGGGGUAUUUAUAGCCCCAACCACCAAACUAGCCGUUUGGUGAGGCUGUCUGUCGAAUGGCGCACCGGACAGUCCGGUGCACACCGGACAUGUCCGGUGCGACAGCCACGUCACCAGACCGUUAGGGUUCCGACCGUUGGAGCUCUGACUUCUGGGCCCGCCUGGAUGUCUGGUGGCGCACCGGACAUGUACUGUAGAGUGUCCGGUGCGCCACUACGCGCGUGCUUGACUUCUACGCGCUCUGGCGCGCAUUAAUUGCUGUUGCAGGUGACCGUUGGCGCGAAGUAGCAGUUGCCCCGUAGUUACACCGGACAGUCCGGUGUACACCGGACAUGUCCGGUGAAUUAUAGCGGAGCAGUCGUUGCAGAUUCCCGAAGCAGGCGAGUUCCUGAGGCCGCUCUUCCUUGGAGCACCGGACACUGUCCGGUGUACACCGGACAGUCCGGUGAAUUAUAGCGGAGUUGCCUCUGGAAUUUCCAGAAGGCGACAAGUUUGAGUUGAAGUCCUCUGGUGCACCGGACAUGUCCGGUGGUGCACCGGACACUGUCCGGUGGCACACCGGACAGUUCGGUGCGCUAGACCAGAGGUGCCUUCGGUUGCCCCUUUGCUCUUUUGUUGAACCCAAUACUUGGUCUUUUUAUUGGCUAAGUGUGAACCUUUGGCACCUGUAUUACUUGUACACUAGAGCAAACUAGUUAGUCCAAUUAUUUGUGUUGGGCAAUUCAACCACCAAAAUUAUUUAGGAACCAGGUGUAAGCCUAAUUCCCUUUCACGAGCCAAGAAAUCAUACUAUGCAUCAAGGGUGAGCAGGUAUGCAGUGAGGUACACGACUGUGGGGUCGUCCUCAAGCAGCUGCUGCUCUUCCAAUGCACGCAUCCUGGCCAUCCAAGCGGGACGGUCUCUCUGAAAGGGCGGAAGGAAUCUGAGCGGGGUGUCGGCCACUUCUUCUUCAUAGAUCUGACAUAGGGCCCUCAAUGCCUUGCGAGCGACGACUUGGCAGGUGUCUUUGAAUCUGUGCCCAGUAGCAGUGACACUCCAUUCCACAUGGUGUGGACUGGAUCCAAUGUAUACAGUCACGACACACUUCUCUGUGCCAUGCUCAACGAAUUCACGACCAUCAUACUCUGGCUCGCUUCUGAUUCUGAGGCGAACUGUGCAUGCUCUCAGCAACUUGGGGAAACCAUCUUCAUUCUGGCACAUGCUGGUUUGGCAGGGAACCUCCAUCUGACUUCUGAGAGAAGGAAAGGGGGAAAGCAUUUUUGAAAUGAAGGGAUGAGAGCAAGAUUUUUUAAGAAAAUAGUUUGGACUCAAAAACUUUUGAUCAGGCUAAGGGUUACGUCCUGCGGCCAACUUAACAGCUCUGAUACCACCUAAAGCAUCCCGAUCCUCUGGGACUCAAAUGUGAUACAAUUACUAGUCCUAGGAGGCUAGUAAACACAUUUAUACAUCAGAUGAUUUCAGAUCUGCUUAAACGAGACAAACCUAAAAAGGUGGCGAUCAACUUUAAGAGUUGGUCCAUAACUCGGGACAUAUCAUCAGAGUGGGGCUGAAGCAGCCCGAUAUACGCAGCGAAGCAAAUCAGCGGUCCAACAGCCAUAAGCAAGGUUGGGAACAGUCGUAACUCUUACCCGAUCUCCUUUUUCUGAAAAACAACAAAUAAGCAAGGGUGAGUACAAACGUACUCAGCAGCCCACCUUCACCCGCGGAAUGGGGAAAUCAGAUAUAAUGCAUGGAAUAUGUGGAGCUCAGGAUAUUUGCAGAAACAGCAAUAUUUUAUGCAGGGUUGUUUUUGAAAAAACAUUUUGUAUUUUGCAAAGCGCAUCCUCUCCAAAAGAAGCAGGAAGUUUUUCAAUAUUAGAACAAAACCCCCUAGACUAAACCAUCCAUGUAUCUCAGUAGUUUCCUACUGGUUUUCAUUCUCAAAAAUAGCUACUGGACUUCCCCUCCACCAUAGCUCACGGCUCAACCGCCGAACCUUUUAAAAACCACUUUUCUCAAACGCACCUUUUUUUAAAAAAACAAAACAUCAAUUGCCAUACCAUACCAGACUCGUCCAUUCCUGUGGACACAGACUAUUCGAAUAGGUUUUCAAACUCUGCGCAGAGGUGUACACUUUACCCACUAGCCCGGCUCUGCGAUCUCAUAGCUAGUGAGACCCGAAUCUGAAUCUCUUUCUUUCCUCGCACGUCCUAACCUUAACGUUUAUACCGGAAGGAGUCAGGCCACCGCCAUGUCCAAACCGGACAAAACAUUCCCCCUCCUUAUCCUCCCAGUGCUCCCUAGCCUUCAUAACCCUGUGGUUGGACCGUACGAGUUCAGAUUGAGUGACUGCCCACACAGUCUCGAGUGGUUGUACUUAUCAUGAGUACAAGUAGUGAAAGAUGACAAACCGGUCCUUAUACGAGGGGACAAUCCUUCUGCUCACGCCUAAACCAGUUGAGCCAUCACCUUAGGCCCUCCCCUAAACCAGGGAGUCCCUGAUUAUCCCACUCACAAGGUGAUAAGGGUGAAAACCCUUCAUCAUACACAUUUUGAAAAGCAUUUUCUUUUGAAAACUCACACCCUUUCUCAAAUCAUUUGUAACAAAUAUAUUAAGGAUUGAUUGCGGCAAGUGGCUUGGGUGGCCAUAAUAACUUAUCUCAAAAUCAUAUCAUGCAUAAAAUAACAGGCUGACGGUUGUGGUUGAAAAACAUAGGUAAUUUAUGCAUCAAAGGGAUCCAGUGAGCUUGUCGUGCUUAUCCGGCGAAGGGGGAAAGGAGAGCUCGCAGAACUGGCUUCUGGCUCCACCGCCUGGUGUAGACUUGCAGAUCUAGCCUCCACGAGACGACACGAACGCUCCGAUAACUAUGCAACAUGAACAAGCAAACAUACAAACCAGCAAGUAUACCAACAAAUAUUUAGUAUAAUGGUCAGAAUAGCGAUAUAUGGAUGGGUAGAGUCUUGAGUAGAAUCUGUGUCAUGUGGUGUUGUGAUAUUACUGGUGGUGGAGCGGAGGUGCUUACCAGGAGGGUGGACUGGAGGCGAAGCGACACUAUGCGUGUAGCCGGCAGAGCGGAGUAACUGAGUGGGUGGGGUGUUUGCCUUGGUUGAGGGUGUUGAGUGUGUGUGGAGAGGGAGAGGGUAGCUAGGUGUAUUUAUAGCUGAGUGUAUGUGGUGUAGCACAGUGAAGUUCACUGUUGGUGAGAAUAGUGACGAAUGAAUCGUCUGACUUAGUAUGAAUAGGAGAGUUAUAGGCAGAAUAUAGGACAAGAGUAUUUUGGGAGUUUUUCUGGAAUAUGGACCAGGCUUAAGGGAUGACAUGGUUGGAUAGGGAAUAGUUUGAUAAGAAUUUAGAAACAAGAAUUAUUGGAAUCUGAGUUUGGAAGCAUGGUUCAAAGGAAUCUCAAAGUUAAGCGUGCUCAACUUGGAGAAACCUGGGAUGGGUGACCAGAUGGGAAGUUCCCUACUGGAAGGAAAAUCACAGUCACCGGACUUCGUAUGACUGGAAUAUGGGUCUGGCUGGUCUUAGGUGGACUGGACAGCAUGAUGUAUGAGUAGUUGAAAUUUGGGGUGAUCGGCUAAUCGAUGAAUAGUAACGAUGAAUAGUAACGACGAAUAGUAACAAUGAAUAGUGACGACAAAAAAGUUACUAUAAAUAUCAUCGAUGAGUAGUAACGAUGAUAAAUAGUAACGAUGGUGAAUAGUAUCGGUGAAUAGUAACGAUGAAUAGUAACGGUGAAUAGGUCGUAUGAACGAACGAUGAACGAUGAAUAGGAACUAUGAACGAACGGACGAACGAUCGAAUGACCGGACGAACGAACGAUCGGAAUUUCGGCAGCAUAACGGCAGGACAAAGAUUAUCUGGAAGAACGAUGAAUAGGGACUAUGAACGAACGAUGAACGAUGAAUAGGAACUAUGAACGAACGAUGAAUAGGAACUAUGAACGAACGAUGAACGUUCGAAUGAUCGAACGAACGAACGAUCGGAAUUUCGGCAGCAUAACAGCAGGAAAAAGAUUAUUUGGACGAACGAACGAACGAUCGGAAUUUUGGCAGCAUAACGGCAGGACAAAGAUUAUCUGGAAGAACGAUGAAUAGGGACUAUGAACGAACGAUGAACGAUGAAUAGGAACUAUGAACGAACGAUGAACGAUCGAAUGAUCGAACGAACGAACGAUCGGAAUUUCGGCAGCAUAACGGUAGGAAAAAGAUUAUUUGGACGAACGAACGGAUGAACGAUCGAACGAUCGGACGAACGGACGAACGAACCAUGAACGAUCGGACGAACGAUCGGACGAACGAACGAACAAACUAAGAACAGGGGACGAACGAUCGAAGAACGACCGAACGAUCCUUGUGCUAGUGUGUGCUUGUGUGGAACAUGGAGUGGGUGUGUGUGGGGGGGGAAGAGAGUUGCCAUGAAAUGGCUUGGGGUGGGAUGAGAGGAGGCCCUUGCCCCUCUAUUUAUAGCCAUGGUGGGGGGAUUAGGGGGAGGGAUGAGAGAAUUAGUGGGAGGAUGAGAGGAUUAGUGGAAGAUUAGCAUGUAUUUGUCUUGUAAAGUGAGAUUAGCUUGUAGAGCUCAACGUAUGACACCGGAGGCAUACGUAUAUGUAUGAGCAUGAGGAAAGUAAUGAAGAAAAAUAUUUAUAGGGACUUGAAAAAUGAUUCUGAAGGUAUUUCUCAAGAGGAAAAUACUUGGAGAUAUAUCGGUGGAAUAUUUGGACAGUAUUUCUGGACAGAACUUGAAGGGGUUACUCGAGAAAUAUCUGGGCGGUAUUUCUAGAAACAAAUUGAGGGUGAUCACUGGGGAAAUAUUUGUAGGAUAUUUUGAGGAGGAUUUUGGAGAGAAUAUAGACCACUAUAUUUUAUUUGCUGAUAUCAACUCGCAAACAAACAUUUUAAAAUGAAAUUUGAAAUUCAUUUUGAAUUUAGAGCGAGUUUGAGAAAAUUUCAGGAUUUGAAUUUUUGGGAUGCUACACAAAGGUUACUUGGAAUUAAACCAAUUUAUAUUUUCAUAAGAUAUGCAUGGAUUGCUUUCUUCAUUUUAACAUUUUGGACCACGCUUGCACCACUUGUUUUUCAAAGUCUUUUUGCAAAUAGUUAAAGGUAUAUGAAUAAGAUUUCGAGAAGCAUUUUCAAGAUUUGAAAUUUUCUCCCCCUGUUUCAAAUGCUUUUCCUUUGACUGAACAAAACUCCCCCUCAAUGAAAUUCUCCUCAUAGUGUUCAAGAGGAUUUUAGAUAUUAAUUUUGAAAGAGGUCAUACCAAUUUGAAAUUAUAUAAAAAAUAAGAUACCAAUUGAAAAACUUCUUUUAAUACCAAUUGAAAGACUACAUUUACACAUUUUUGAAAUUGGUGGUGAUGCGGUCCUUUUGCUUUGGGCUAAUACUUUCUCCCCCUUUGGCAUGAAUCGCCAAAAACGGAUACUUUGUGAGUGAAAUAUAAGCCCUUAGUAAAUUCUCUCCCUCUUUGGCAAACAAUAUAUGAGUGAAGGAUUAUACCAGAGUGGAGAGCGAUGCAGUGUGAUGGCGAAGGAUAAAUAAUACGAUGGAGUGGAGUGGAAGUCUUGUCUUCGCUGAGAACUCCAUUUCCCUUUCAAUCUAUGACUUGGCAUAAAAUACACUUGACAACGGAUUAGUCAUAGCAAAUGAAAGAGAGAUGAUCAAAGGUACAUAAAUGAGCUAUGUGUGCAAAGUAUCAAUCAAAAAUCCUAGAAUCAAGAAUGUUUAGCUCAUGCCUAAGUUUGGUUAAGGUUUUCUCAUCUAGUGGUUUGGUAAAGAUAUCGGAUAAUUGUUCUUUGGUGCUAACAUAAGCAAUCUCGAUAUCCCCCUUUAUUGGUGAUCCCUCAAAAAGUGAUGCCGAAUGGCUAUGUGCUUAGUGCGGUUGUGUUCAACGGGAUUAUCCGCCAUGCGGGUUGCACUCUCAUUAUCACAUAGGAGAGGGACUUUGGUCAAUUUGUAACCAUAGUCCCUAAGGGUUUGCCUCAUCCAAAGCAAUUGUGCGCAACAAUGGCCUGCGGCAAUGUACUCGGCUUCGGCGAUAGAAAGAGCUACAGAAGUUUGUUUCUUUGAAGCCCAAGACACCAGGGAUCUUUACAAGUCCCUGAUGUGCUCUUUCUAUCAAUCUUACACCCUGCCCAAUCAGCAUCUGAAUAACCUAUUAAAUCAAAAGUGGAUCCCUUGGGGUACCAAAGACCAAACUUAGGAGUAUGAACUAAAUAUCUCAAGAUUCGUUUCACGGUCCUAAGGUGAACUUCCUUAGGAUCGGCUUGGAAUCUUGCACACAUGCAUACGGAAAGCAUGAUAUCCGGUCGAGAUGCACAUAAAUAGAGUAAAGAUCCUAUCAUCGACCGGUAUUGAUAGUCGCCUAGAGGGGGGGUGAAUAGGGCGAAACUGAAAUUUACAAAUAUAAACACAACUACAAGCCGGGUUAGCGUUAGAAAUGUAAACGAGUCCGCGAGAGAGGGUGCAAAACAAAUCGCAAGCAAAUGAAGAGUGUGACACGCGGAUUUGUUUUACCGAGGUUCGGUUCUCGCAAACCUACUCCCCGUUGAGGAGGCCACAAAGGCCGGGUCUCUUUCAACCCUUCCCUCUCUCAAACGGUCCCUCGGACCGAGUGAGCUUCUCUUCUCAAAUCAAAGCCGGGAAUAAAACUUCCCCGCAAGGGCCACCACACGAUUGGUGCCUCUUGCCUUGAUUACAAUUGAGUGUAGAUCACAAGAGCAAGUGAGAAAGAAAAGAAGCAAUCCAAGCGCAAGAGCUCAAAAGAACACGGCAAAUCUCUCUCGCUAAUCACUAAAGCCUUUUGUGGAAUUGGAGAGGAUUUGAUCUCUUUGGUGUGUCUAGAAUUGAAUGCCUAGCUCUUGUAAGUGGUUGAGAAGUGGAAAACUUGGAUGCAAUGAAUGGUGGGGUGGUUGGGGUAUUUAUAGCCCCAACCACCAACUUGACCGUUGGUGGAGGCCGUCUGUUUGAUGGCGCACCGGACAGUCCGGUGCCCCAGCCACGUCACCAGUUCCGUUGGAUUCCGACCGUUGAAGCUUCUGACUUCUGGGCCCGCCUUGAUGUCCGGUGGCGCACCGGACAUGUACUGUAGAGUGUCCGGUGCGCCAGCAUGGGCGUGUCUGACCUCUGCGCGCGCUGGCGCGCAAUAAAUGCGCUGCAGGUAGCCGUUGGCGCCUGAAGUAGCCGUUGCUCCGCAGAUGCACCGGACAGUCCGGUGUACACCGGACAGUCCGGUGAAUUAUAGCGGAGCGGCUGAAGUGAAAACCCGAGGCUGGCGAGUUCCUGAGGCCGCCCUUCCUUGGAGCACCGGACAGUCCGGUGCACACCGGACAAUCCGGUGAAUUAUAGCGGAGUGGUCUCUGGAAAAUCCCGAAGCCGAGCAGUUCGAAGUUGGAGUCCCCUGGUGCACCGGACAUGUCCGGUGGCACACCGGACAGUCCGGUGCGCCACACCAGAGAAGCCUUCUGUUGCUCCUUUGCUCUUGUGUUGAACCCAACUUUUGGUCUUUUUAUUGGCUAAGUGUGAACAUUUUGCACCUGUAUAACUUAUACACUGGAGCAAACUAGUUAGUCCAAUAUUUGUGUUGGGCAAUUCAACCACCAAAAUUAUUUAGGAACUAGGUGAAAGCCUAAUUCCCUUUCAGGUAUACCUUUUGAUCUAUGGAUUUACCUCCUGUGUCGAGGUCGAGAUGCCCAUUGGUUCCCAUGGGUGUCUUGAUGGGCUUGGCAUCCUUCAUUCCAAACUUGGUGAGUAUGUCUUGAAUGUACUUCGUUUGGCUGAUGAAGGUGCCCUCUUGAAGUUGCUUGACUUGAAAUCCUAGAAUGUACUUCAACUCCCCCAUCAUAGACAUCUCGAAUUUUUGUACCAUUAUCCUACUAAACUCUUCACAAGUAGAUUUGUUAGUAGACCCAAAUAUGAUAUCAUCAACAUAAAUUUGGCAUAUAAACAAAUCAUUUGCAAUAGUUUUAGUAAAGAGAGUAGGAUCAACUUUUCCGACUUUGAAGCCAUUAGUGAUAAGAAAAUCUCUUAGGCAUUCAUACCAUGCUCUUGGGACUUGCUUGAGCCCAUAAAGCGCCUUAGAGAGUUUGUAAACAUGGUUAGGAUACUCACUAUCUUCAAAGCCGGGAGGUUGCUCAACAUAGACCUCCUCCUUGAUUGGUCCAUUGAGGAAGGCACUUUUCACGUCCAUUUGAUAGAGCUUAAAGCCAUGGUAAGUAGCAUAGGCAAGCAAUAUACGAAUUGACUCAAGCCUAGCUACGAGUGCAUAGGUUUCACCGAAAUCCAAACCUUCGACUUGUGAAUAACCCUUGGCCACAAGUCGAGCUUUGUUCCUUGUCACCACACCAUGCUCAUCUUGCUUGUUGCGGAAGACACACUUGGUUCCUACAACAUUUUGGUUAGGACGUGGAACAAGAUGUCAUACCUCAUUCCUCGUGAAGUUGUUGAGUUCCUCUUGCAUUGCCAACACCUAAUCUGAAUCCCUUAAUGCGUCUUCCACCCUGUAUGGCUCAAUAGAAGACACAAAGGAGUAGUGUUCACAAAAAUGAGCAACACGAGAUCGAGUGGUUACCCCUUAUGAAUAUCGCCGAGGAUGGUGUUCAUGGGGUGAUCUCGUUGUAUUGCUUGGUGGACUCUUGGGUGUGGCGGUUUUGGACCCUCAUCAUCUUCCUUGUCUUGAUCAUUGACAUCUCCCCCUUGAUCAUUGUCCUCCUCUUGAGGUGGCUCCUCUUGAUCUUCAUUUUCAUCAUCUUGAGCUUGAUCCUCAUCUUGGGUUGGUGGAGAUGCUUGCAUGGAAGAUGAAGGUUGAUCUUGUGCAUGUGGAGGCUCCUCGGAUUCUUUAGGACACACGUCCCCAAUGGACAUGUUCCUUAGCGCGAUGCACGGGGCCUCUUCAUCAUCUAGCUCAUCAAGAUCAACUUGCUCUACUUGAGAGCCGUUAGUCUCAUCAAACACAAUGUCACAAGAAACUUCAACUAGUCCAGUGGACUUGUUAAAGACUCUAUAUGCCCUUGUGUUUGAGUCAUAACCAAGUAAAAAGCCUUCUACAACCUUAGGAGCAAAUUUAGAUUUUCUACCUCUUUUAACAAGAAUAAAACAUUUGCUACCAAAGACUCUAAAAUAUGAAACAUUGGGCUUUUUACCGGUAAGGAGUUCAUACGAUGUCUUCUUGAGGAUUCGGUGAAGGUAGAGACGGUUGAUGGCGUAGCAAGCGGUGUUGAUUGCUUCCGCCCAAAACCUGUCCGAAGUCUUGUACUCAUCAAGCAUGGUCCUCGCCAUGUCAAGUAGAGUUCUAUUUUUCCUCUCCACUACACCAUUUUGUUGUGGUGUGUAGGGAAAAGAGAACUCAUGCUUGAUGCCCUCGUCCUCAAGAAAGCCUUCUAUUUGAGAGUUCUUGAACUCCGUCCUGUUGUCGCUUCUAAUCUUUUUGAUCCUUAAGUCGAACUCAUUUUGAGCCCGUCUCAAGAAUCCCUUUAAGGUCUCUUGGGUUUGAGAUUUAUCCUAAAAAAGAACACCCAAGUGAAGUGAGAAUAGUCAUCCACAAUAACUAGACAGUACUUACUCCUGCCGAUGCUUAUGUAAGCUAUCGGGCCGAAUAGGUGAAAGCGAAAUGUGCCCUUGGGCCAUUUCUAAGUAUUUUGGUGAUUAAGUGUCCAACACAAGUGCUUAAGUGUUAAAUUGUGCCAAGGACUCAAGAAGUACAAAUCAAGAUUAAAGGUAUGUUUCUAGACUUAGUACAUUGUUUUUAAGACUAAUGUAUUGUGUCUAAGUGCUAGAAACAGGAGAAACAAUUUUUGGAGAAGUUGGCUGUGUACAGCCAAAAGGCUGCUCGGUCUGGGUGCACCGGACUGUCUGGUGGUGCACCGGACAGUGUCCGGUGCGCCAGGCUGGCGGCUGUCAACUGGCUGCUCUCGGGACUUCGAUGGCGGUGUACGGCUAUAAAUCACCGGACUGUCUGGUGAGCCAACAGUCAGCCGGGCCAACGGUCGGCCGCAUAAUCCGCGCGCGACGCGUGGCAAGAGCCAACGGUCAGAAGGGGCACCGGACUAUCCGGUGCGCACCGGACAGUGUCCUGUGUGCCAACGGCUCCAAAGCGCCAACGGUCGGCUUUGCCAAAGAAGGAAAGAAAUCCGCACCGGACAGUGUCCGGUGGUGCACCGAACUGUUCGGUGCGCCAGGCGACAGAAGGCAAGAAUUGCCUUCUUGAAAUGCUCUCAACGGCUCCUAGCUACCUUGGGGCUAUAAAAGGGAUCCCUAGGCGCAUGGAGGAGAAUACCAAGCAUUCCUUGAGCAUUGUUGAUCACUCACACUUCAUUCUUGCGCACUUGUUCGACAUUCUUAGUGAUUUAAGCUCCGUUCUAUUGAGAACCUCGAGAUAUUGUCUUGAGCUCAAGUCUUGGUUUUGUGUGUGCGUAUUUGCUGUGGAUUUGAGUGUGUUGCUUCCCUCCCUUACUCGUGUGCUUCAUAUUGAUUCUUAUUGUAAGGGCGAGAGACUCCAAGUUGUGGAGAUUCCUCGCAAACGGGAAAAGAGUAAAGUAAAGAAGAACACCGUGGUAUUCAAGUUGAUCUUUGGAUCACUUGAGAGGAGUUGAGUGCAACUCUCGUCCGUUGGGACGCCACAACGUGGAGUAGGCAAGUUUUGUACUUGGCCGAACUACGGGAUAAAUCCUCGUGUCUCUUGUGCUUGUCCUUACUGUUUCUAUUGGGUCUCACAAAAGAACUCCUCUCUAGUCACAUGGCCUUAUUGUGCUAACACCUAAUCAAGUUUUGUUGGAUUAAAUUUUAAGUUUUAUAGGAUCACCUAUUCACCCCCCUCUAGGUGCUCUCAAUUGGUAUCGGAGUCGUUCUCUUCAAGAAAAGGACUAAUCGCUCGAAGAGACGGAUCCUAAGGGCAAGGGGAUGGUGGUCAAUGAUAAGGAGAAGGAGUCCUUCGUCAAUGAUCCAAAGGAUGACAAGCCUACUGACUCAGGCUCGGGCCACAAAAGAAAAGACGGGAGGAAGAAGAAAACAAGGCGCAUCAAGGAGAUAGUCUACUACGACAGCGACGAAUCUUCCUCUUCCCAAAAGGACGACUACAACGACUACGAGAAAAAGAAGAUGGUUAAUUCAAACUUUUCCUUUGAUUAUUCUCAUAUUCCGCAAAGUUCUAAUGCUCAUUUGCUUUCCAUUCCCCUCGGCAACCCCCCACUUUGAUGGAGAGGACUACGGAUUUUGGAGUCACAAAAUGCGUAGCCACUUGUUCUCUCUCCAUCCAAGUAUAUGGGAGAUAGUGGAAAUGGAAUGCACUUUGAUAGUACGGAUAGUCCCAUGCUCAUUAAUGGGCAAAUUCACAAAAAUGCACAAGCUACUACUGUUCUUCUAGCUUCAUUGUGCAGGGAUGAAUACCAUAAGGUGAGCGGCUUGGAUAACGCCAAGCAGAUUUGGGACACCCUCAAAAUCUCACAUGAGGGGAACGACGUCACCAUGCUCACCAAGAUGGAGUUGGUAGAGGGCGAACUUGGGAGAUUCGCAAUGAUCAGGGGCGAGGAGCCAACCCAAACGUACAACCGGCUCAAUACCCUCGUCAACAAAAUAAGGAGCUAUGGAAGCACGCGAUGGACGGACCACGACGUCGUCCGCCUAAUGCUAAUGUCUUUUACUGUCCUUGAUCCACAUCUUGUGAACAAUAUUCGUGAGAAUCCUAGGUACACCAAGAUGACACCCGAGGAGAUACUUGGAAAGUUCGUAAGCGAGCGGAUGAUGAUCAAGGAGGCUAGAUACGUUGAUGAUGCGUUGAAUGGCCCAAUCCAAGAGCCUCAAACCAUUGCUCUCAAAGCGACGAGGAGCAAGGAGGCGCUACCUAGCAAGGUGGCACAAGUUGAGGCGGUCGGGCUUAAUGAUGAAGAAAUGACCCUCAUCAUUAAGCGUUUCAAGACGGCGCUAAGGGGUCGCAAGGAGCAUCCAAACAAGACCAAGACGAAGGGGAAGCGCUCAUGCUUCAAAUGUGGUAAGAUUGGUCAUUUUAUCGCUAACUAUCCCGAUAAUGAUAGUGACCAGGAACAAGGGAACAAGAGGGAAAAGAAGAAGGCGUACAAGAAGGCUAAGGGCGAGGCACACCUUGGAAAGGAGUGGGACUCGGAUUGCUCGUCGUCCGACUCCGACAACGAAGGACUUGCCGCCACCGCCUUCAACAAGUCGGCCCUCUUCCCCAACGAGCAUCACACCUGCCUCAUGGCAAGGGAAAAGAAGGUAAGCACUCGUGAUACUAGUACUUACGCUUCCUCAAGUGAUGAAGAAUCUAGCGAUGAUGAAAUAGACUAUUCAUGUUUAUUCAAGGGCCUAGAUAGAACUAAGGUUGAUAAGAUUAAUGAAUUAAUUGAUGCCUUGAAUGAUAAAAAUAGGUUAUUAGAAAAGCAAGAGGAUCUUUUGUAUGAAGAACAUGAUAAAUUUGUAGAGGCACAAAAAUCUCUUGCUUUAGAAGUUAAAAGGAAUGAAAUGCUUUCUUGUGAACUAUCUACUUGCCAUGAGACAAUUUCUAGUUUAAAAAGUGUUAAUGAUGAUUUGAAUGCAAAACUAGAAGUAGCAAUUAAAUCUAACUCUGGUGUAGAACAUGUUGUGAUUUGCAAUAGGUGUAAAGAUUUUAAUAUUGAUGCUUGUAGUGAACACCUAGUUUCUAUUGCAAAGUUAAAUGAUGAAGUGGCUAGUCUUAAUGCCCAACUUAAGACUAGCAAGGAUGAAUUUGACAAACUAAAAUUUGCAAGGGAUGCCUACACGAUUGGUAGACACCCCUCAAUUAAGGAUGGUCUUGGCUUCAAGAGGGAAGUCAAGAACUUAACAAGCCAUAAGGCUUCCAUCUCCGCCAAGGAGAAAGGGAAGGCCCCUAUGGCUAGUAGUGCUCAAAAGAACCAUGCUUUCAUGUAUCAUGAUAGGAGACAUUCUAGGAAUGUGUAUAGAAGUUAUGAUGCUUUUGAUUCUCAUGCCAUGAUUGCUUCAAGUUCUUCUAUUAUGCAUGAUAGAAAUUUGGCUAGGAAAAAUGUUGUUCAUCAUAUGCCAAGAAGAAAUAUUGUUCAUGUUCCUAGGAAAGUAACGAAUGAACCUUCUACAAUUUAUUAUGCUUGCAAUGCUUCCUUUGCUAUUUGUAGAAAGGAUAAGAAGGUAAUUGCUAGGAAAUUAGGGGCCAAAUGUAAGGGAGACAAGACUUGCAUUUGGGUCCCUAAGACUAUUAUAACUAACCUUGUAGGACCCAACAUGAGUUGGGUACCUAAGACCCAAACCAAAAUUUGCCUUGCAGGUUUAUGCAUCCGAGGGCUCAAGCUGGAUUAUCGAUAGCGGAUGCACAAACCACAUGACGGGGGAAAAGAGUAUGUUCCCUUCCUACGUCAAGAACAAGGAUCCCCAAGAUUCAAUCAUAUUCGGUGAUGGGAACCAAGGCAAGGUGAAAGGGUUAGGAAAAAUUGCUAUUUCAUCCAAGCACUCUAUUUCUAAUGUGUUCUUAGUUGAGUCGCUUGGAUAUAACUUGUUGUCUGUGAGUCAACUUUGUAAUAUGGGAUAUAACUGUUUAUUCACAAAUGUAGAUGUGUCUGUCUUUAGAAGAAGUGAUGGUUCAUUAGCUUUUAAGGGUGUACUAGACGGCAAACUUUAUUUAGUUGAUUUUGCAAAAGAGGAGGCUGGUCUAGAUGCAUGCUUAAUUGCUAAGACUAGCAUGGGCUGGCUGUGGCAUCGCCGUUUAGCACAUGUGGGGAUGAAGAACCUUCACAAGCUUCUAAAGGGAGAACACGUGAUAGGUCUAACUAAUGUAACUUUCGAAAAAGAUAGACCUUGUGCAGCUUGUCAAGCAGGUAAACAGGUGGGAAGCUCUCAUCAUGCCAAAAAUGUGAUGACAACAUCAAGACCCCAGGAGUUACUUCAUAUGGACCUCUUCGGACCCAUCGCCUAUCUAAGUAUAGGAGGAAGUAAGUAUGGUCUUGUUAUAGUUGAUGAUUUUUCCCGCUUCACUUGGGUAUUCUUUUUGCAGGAUAAAUCUGAAACCCAAGGGACCCUCAAGCGCUUCCUGAGGAGAGCCCAAAACGAGUUCGAGCUCAAAGUGAAGAAGAUAAGGAGCGACAAUGGGUCCGAGUUCAAGAACCUUCAAGUGGAGGAGUAUCUUGAGGAGGAAGGAACCAAGCACGAGUUCUCCGCUCCCUACACACCACAGCAAAAUGGUGUGGUAGAGAGGAAGAACAGGACGCUACUAGACAUGGCGAGGACGAUGCUUGGUGAAUUCAAGACGCCCGAACGGUUUUGGACGGAAGCCGUGAGCACGGCUUGCCACGCCAUAAAUUGGGUCUAUCUUCAUCGCCUCCUCAAGAAGACUUCAUAUGAGCUUCUAACCGGUAACAAACCAAAUGUGUCGUACUUUCAUGUAUUUGGGAGCAAGUGUUACAUUCUAGUGAAGAAAGGUAGGAAUUAUAAGUUUGCUCCCAAAGCUGUAGAAGGGUUUUUGUUAGGUUAUGACUCAAAUACAAAGGCGUAUAGGGUCUUCAACAAAUCAUCGGGUUUGGUUGAAGUCUCUAGCGACGUUGUAUUUGAUGAGACUAAUGGCUCUCCAAGAGAGCAAGUUGUUGAUCUUGAUGAUGUAGAUGAAGAAGACGUUCCAACGGCCGCAAUGCGCACCAUGGCGAUUGGAGAUGUGAGGCCACUGGAACAAAAAAAGCAAGAUCAACCUUCUUCCUCGACAACGGUGCAACCCCCAACUCAAGAAGAUGAACAGGUUCAUCAAGAGGAGGUGUGUGAUCAAGGGGGAGCACAAGAUGAUCAUUUAAUGGAGGAAGAAGCACAACCAGCACCUCCAACCCAAGUUCGAGCGAUGAUUCAAAGGAAUCAUCCCAUCGACCAAAUAUUGGGUGACAUAAGCAAGGGAGUAACUAUUCGUUCUAGAUUAGUUAAUUUUUGUGAGCAUUACUCCUUUGUCUCUUCUAUUGAGCCUUUCAGGGUAGAAGAGGCCUUGCUAGAUCCGGACUGGGUGUUGGCCAUGCAAGAGGAGCUCAACAACUUCAAGAGAAAUGAAGUUUGGACACUGGUGCCUCGUCCCAAGCAAAACAUUGUGGGAACCAAGUGGGUGUUUUGCAACAAACAAGACAAGCACGGGGUGGUGACAAGGAACAAGGCACGACUUGUGGCAAAAGGUUAUGCCCAAGUCACAGGUUUGGACUUUGGGGAGACUUUUGCUUCUGUGGCUAGGCUAGAGUCAAUUCACAUAUUGUUAGCCUAUGCUGCUCACCAUUCUUUUAGGUUGUUCCAAAUGGAUGUGAAGAGCGCUUUCCUCAACGGGCCAAUCAAGGAGGAGGUGUACGUGGAGCAACCCCCUGGCUUUGAGGAUGAACGGUACCCCGACCACAUAUGUAAGCUCUCUAAGGCGCUCUAUGGACUUAAGUAAGCCCCAAGAGCAUGGUAUGAAUGCCUUAGAGACUUUUUAAUUGCCAAUGCUUUCAAGGUUGGGAAAGCCGAUCCAACUCUUUUUACUAAGACUUGUGAUUGUGAUCUUUUUGUGUGCCAAAUUUAUGUCGAUGACAUAAUAUUUGGUUCUACUAACCAAAAGUCUUGUGAAGAAUUUAGCAGGGUGAUGACCCAAAAGUUUGAGAUGUCGAUGAUGGGCGAGUUAAGCUAUUUCCUUGGGUUCCAAGUGAAGCAACUCAAGGAUGGGACCUUCAUCUCCCAAACGAAGUACACGCAAGACUUGAUCAAGCGGUUUGGGAUGAAGGAUGCCAAGCCCGCAAAGACUCCAAUGGGAACCAACGGACACACUGACCUCAACAAAGGAGGUAAGUCCGUUGAUUAAAAAGCAUACCGGUCUAUGAUAGGUCCUUACUUUAUUUAUGUGCUAGUAGACCGGAUAUAAUGCUUAGCGUAUGCAUGUGUGCUAGAUUUCAAUCCGAUCCAAGGGAGUGUCACUUUGUGGCCGUGAAGCGAAUUCUUAGAUAUUUAGUCGCUACGCCUUGCUUCGGGAUCUGGUAUCCAAAGGGGUCUACCUUUGACUUGAUUGGAUAUUCAGAUUCCGAUUAUGCUGGAUGUAAGGUCGAUAGGAAGAGUACAUCAGGGACGUGCCAAUUCUUAGGAAGGUCCCUGGUGUCGUGGAGUUCUAAGAAACAAACCUCUGUUGCCCUAUCCACCGUUGAGGCCGAGUAUGUUGCCGCAGGCCAGUGUUGCGCGCAACUACUUUGGAUGAGGCAAACCCUCAGGGACUUUGGCUACAAUCUGAGCAAAGUCCCACUCCUAUGUGAUAAUGAGAGUGCUAUCCGCAUGGUGGAUAAUCCUGUUGAACACAACCGCACAAAGCACAUUGACAUCCGGCAUCACUUUUUGAGAGACCACCAGCAAAAGGGAGAUAUCGAAGUGUUUCAUGUUAGCACCGAGAACCAGCUAGCCGAUAUCUUUACCAAGCCUCUAGAUGAGUCAACCUUUUGCAAGCUGCGUAGUGAGCUAAAUGUCUUAGAUUCGCAGAACCUGGAUUGAUUUAUAGCAUACAUGUGUUUUAUGCCUUGAUCAUGUUCCUUAAUGCAUUUUAUUGUUUAUUUAUGGUACUCAAGUUGUACAAGCACUCCCCGGACCUCACAAGUCCAUUUGCAAGUGAUGCACAUAUUUAGGGGGAGAUGUGCUACAACUUGACCCUUUGAGACUAACUGUGUGCUUGAGUUUGCUUAAUUUUGUCUCAAAGGAGGUUUGAAAGGGAAAAGGUGGACUUGGACCAUGCAAGACAUCCACUGCACUCCGAUGAAAGAGUAACUGAUUCCAAGUUCAUCUUUGUACUCUUAUUGCCUUUUUACUCUUAGUUGAAGAUUUUGGUGAGGCAAUGGGUUAAAGGGCCAAGAUUGAUCCCGUUUUGGUGCUUGAUGCCAAAGGGGGAGAAAAUAAGGCCAAAGCAACAAAUGGAUCAGCUACCACUUGAGAAUUUUGAAAAUAGUAGAAUAGAGUUUUUGGUUUGGUUUGUCAAAAAUCUCUUAUUGUCUCUUUUGACAAAAGUUGGCCUCUUGUGGGGAGAAUGGUUGAUUAUGGGAAAAGGGGGAGUUUUUGAAAUCUUUGAUCAAUUUCUCUUGGAACAACUCUCUUUAUGUCUCAACAUGUGUGUUUGACUUAGAGAUAGGAAAUUGAGUUUGAUUUGCAAAAACAGAACCAAGUGGUGGCAAAGGACGAUCCAAAUAUGCCAAAUUUGAGUUUUCAUUUGCAGUGAUGUUGCACUUCUUUUAGUUGUUUUUAUUGUGUUGGCAUAAAUCACCAAAAAUGGGGAGAUUGAAAGGGAAAUGUGCCCUUGGGCCAUUUCUAAGUAUUUUGGUGAUUAAGUGUCCAACACAAGUGCUUAAGUGUUAAAUUGUGCCAAGGACUCAAGAAGUACAAAUCAAGAUUAAAGGUAUGUUUCUAGACUUAGUACAUUGUUUUUAAGACUAAUGUAUUGUGUCUAAGUGCUAGAAACAGGAGAAACAAUUUUUGGAGAAGUUGGCUGUGUACAGCCAAAAGGCUGCUCGGUCUGGGUGCACUGGACUGUCCGGUGGUGCACCAGACAGUGUCCGGUGCACCAGGCUGGCGGCUGUCAACUGGCUGCUCUCGGGACUUCGACGACGGUGUACGGCUAUAAAUCAUCGUACUGUCUGGUGGUGCACCGGACUGUCCGGUGAGCCAACAAUCGGCCGGGCCAACGGUCGGCCGCAUAAUCCGCGUGCGACGCGUGGCAAGAGCCAACGGUCAGAAGGGGCACCGGACUGUCCAGUGCGCCAACGGCUCCAAAGCGCCAACGGUCGGCUUCACCAAAGAAGGAAAGAAAUCCGCACCGGACAGUGUCCGGUGGUGCACCGGACUGUCCGGUGCGCCAGGCGACAGAAGGCAAGAAUUGCCUUCUUGAAAUGCUCUCAACGGCUCCUAGCUGUCUUGGGGCUAUAAAAGGGACCCCUAGGCGCAUGGAGGAGAAUACCAAGCAUUCCUUGAGCAUUGUUGAUCACUCACACUUCAUUCUUGCGCACUUGUUCGACAUUCUUAGUGAUUUGAGCUCCGUUCUAGUGAGAACCUCGAGAUAUUGUCUUGAGCUCAAGUCUUGGUUUUGUGUGUGCGUAUUUGCUGUGGAUUUGAGUGUGUUGCUUCCCUCCCUUACUCGUGUGCUUCAUAUUGAUUCUUAUUGUAAGGGCGUGAGACUCCAAGUUGUGGAGAUUCCUCGCAAACGGGAAAAGAGUAAAGUAAAGAAGAACACCGUGGUAUUCAAGUUGAUCUUUGGAUCACUUGAGAGGAGUUGAGUGCAACUCUCGCCCGUUGGGACGCCACAACGUGGAGUAGGCAAGUUUUGUACUUGGCCGAACCACGGGAUAAAUCCUCGUGUCUCUUGUGCUUGUCCUUACUGUUUCUAUUGGGUCUCACAAAAGAACUCCUCUCUAGUCACUUGGCCUUAUUGUGCUAACACCUAAUCAAGUUUUGUUGGAUUAAAUUUUAAGUUUUACAAGAUCACCUAUUCACCCCCCCUCUAGGUGCUCUCAAUAGGUCCAUGUGGAGUAGCUCAAGUGGCCUGUCGGUCGUCAUGAUGUUUUUGUGUGGAUGAUGAACACCAACUUGCUUCCCUGCUUGACAUGCGCUACAAAUCUUGUCUUUCUCAAAAUGAACAUUUGUUAGUCCCAAAAUGUGCUCUCCCUUUAGAAGUUUAUGAAGAUUCUUCAUCCCAACGUGGGCUAGUCGACGAUGCCAGAGCCAACUCAUGUUAGUCUUAGCAAUUAAGCAAGUGUCGAGUUCAGCUCUAUUAAAAUCAACUAGGUAUAGCUGACCGUCUAACAUUCCCUUAAAUGCUACUGAAUCAUCACUCCUUCUAAAUACAGUAACACCUAUAUCCGUAAAAAGACAAUUGUAGCCCAUUUUGCAUAAUUGAGAAACUGAAAGCAAGUUAUUGUCUAAAGAUCUACAAGAAAAACAUUGGAAAUAGAAUGAUCAGGUGAUAUAGCAAUUUUACCAAGUCCUUUGACCAAACCUUGAUUUCCAUCCCUGAAUGUGAUAGCUCGUUGGGGAUCAUGGUUUUUCUCAUAGGAGGAGAACAUCAUUUUCUGCCCUGUCAUGUGGUUUGUGCACCCGCUAUCGAUGAUCCAACUUGAGCCCCCGGAUGCAUAAACCUACAAAACAAGUUUAGGCCUUGUUCUUAGGUACCCAAACGGUCUUGGGUCCUUUCACAUUAGAAAAAAGCACCUUGGGUACCCAAACACAAGUCUUUGAACCCUUGUGUUUGCCCACAACAUAUUUGGCAACUAUUUUGCCUGAUUUGUUAGUGAGCACAUAAGAAGCAUCAAAAGUCUUAAAUGAAAUGUUAGACUCAUUUGAUGCAAUAGGAGAUUUCUUUUUAAGCAUUUUAACAUGGGUAGAACGCCUAAGCUAGAAGCCUCAUUUUUAUAAAUAAAAGCAUGGUGAGAAACAGUAUGAGUCUUCUUAGCAUGAAUUCUCCUAAUCUUAUCCUCAGGAUAACCAGCAGGAUAUAAAAUAUAGCCCUCGUUAUCCUAAGGCAUGGGAGCCUUGCCCAUAACAAAAUUAGACAGUCUUUUAGGGGCAUUGAGUUUGACAUUGCCUCCCUGUUGGAAGCUAAUGCCAUCCUUAAUGCCAGGGCGUCUCCCACUAUAAAGCAUACUACGAGCAAAUUUAAAUUUUUUAUUCUCUAAUUCAUGCUCAACAAUUUUAGCAUCUAAUUUUGCUAUAUGAUCAUUUUGUUGUUUAAUCAUAGCAACGUGAUCAUGGAUAGCAUCAACAUUAACAUCUCUACAUCUAGUGCAAAUAGAGACAUGACUAACAGUAGAUAUAGAGGGUUUGCAAGCAUUUAAUUCAUCAAUCUUAGCAUGUAAAAUAAUAUUCUCAUCUCUAAUAUUGGAAAUAGAAAUAUUGCAAACAUUUAAAUCUUUGGCCUUAGCAAUUAAUUUUUCAUUCUCAAUUUUAAGGCUAGAGAGUGAUGCAUUCAACUUGUCAAUCUUAGUAAUCAAACUAGCAUUAUCAUUUCUAAGACUAACAAUUGAAUCAUCACAAACAUCUAACUUCUCAACCUUAGCAAUUAAUUUUGCAUUUUCAUUUCUAAGGUUUGAGAUAAUAUCAUGGCAAGUGCUUAGCUCACUAGUCAAUUUUUCACACUUCUCUACUUCCUGAGCAUAAGCAUUUUUAACCUUGUUGGGGGCCUUCGUCCUCCGAAGGUCCUCAAAAACAUGAUUUGACAAUGUUUUCCAAGUGAAUUAUAUGAACAGGUAUUUUCGGAUUCAGAAUUAUGGAUAUGGAGCACGACCAGGACGAAGGCUGAGCCAGACGAAGGUCGGGGGCAGCCGAAGCUGUACGCAGGGAAGCUUCGGCGCGAUGGCACAAGGGGGAACCGACCUUAAGAUGAAAAGACUUCGGGGUCCUCAAUAGAUUUCCAUAAACCGUUAACAAAUGUAAUGGACAUGGAUGUAAUUUUACGUGGGCUGCGUCCCGCGUCUAUAAAUAGAUGAACAGUACUCCCGUACUGUUCACGCUGACUUUACAUUUGCUUUUGCGUCACGCCUGUACUUUUUACCUUCUCUCAGGACCGAAGGUACAUUUGUAAUUUGAAAUCAUUUCUAUUUUCUCAUGUUAAUAAAAUAGAAAUGAUUCCAUGAUGAUGCUUAUAUUAUAUCUCAUGCUUUAUAUGAGUCUUUCGUUAUUACCUAUUAUAUUUACGAAGGUAUGUCUCUUAUGACCUUCGUCCGAAACUCAUUAUUUCCCGAAGGGACAUAAUGCUUCGAAGGACGAAGGACUUUAACACUUAACACUUUUCAUGUUGCCUUGUUCUUAACUCUUAGCAUUUGAGAACAAGUCACCAACAUUGGCGCCCACCUCCGGUGAACUCACUUCCACUUCUUGAGUUUUUCGGCACCUUCGGCAAGCAUCAGCUUCGUCAUGCCGCCGAAGAAGGCUCCAGCACCAGGGGCUGGCACGCUGCAGCCGCUGGACCCCAAUCAAGAUGUCCUUUCUCUCAGAGAGGCACGAAGCCAGAAGAGGAAGGCUACCAGUCCAACACAUCCGGAGGAUGAUCUAGAUCAGGAAAUUCAGAAUCUGGAAAUCCUUCAGCAACAGGUUCAACGCAGGAAGGAGAAGAUGGCCAGGCUAGCUGAACUGCAGAGGCAGAUAGAUGAAGCCUCUGAAGAAGUUCGUCAUCUUGCUCAGGAUGAGCAACUCCGAAGGCCUCAGCAUCAAGACCUUCAUCAGGAGGGCUUUUACAACGAAGAUGACUGGUAUGACAAUUUCCAUCAUGGGAAUUUUGUUUUUGAUGAUGCUUCUCCCUUGUCCGCUGAGUUGCAGGCUACGCCUUGGCCUCCGUCCUACAAGCCGCCUCAGCUCCCCGUAUUUGAUGGCCAUUCUGAUCCGAAGCAGUUUUUGAUGAGCUACGAAGCAACAGUGUCUUCGUACGGUGGCAAUGCUUCAGUCAUGGCCAAAUCUUUCGUUAUGGCUGUCAGAAGUGUUGCUCAAACCUGGUAUUCCUCCCUUCGACCAGGAACGAUCACUUCAUGGCAGAAGCUGAAGGACUUGUUGUUAACCAGCUUUCAAGGAUUUCAGACGAAGCCGGUCACUGCUCAGGCUCUGUUCCAGUGCACUCAGGACCCCGAAGAAUACCUUCAGGCAUAUGUCCGAAGGUUUUUGCGUUUGAGGGCACAGGCACCAACGGUGCCCAAUGAAAUUGUCAUUGAGGCCAUGAUCAAGGGGCUUCGGCCAGGUCCGUCAGCUCAGUACUUCGCCAGGAAGCCUCCUCAAACGCUGGAGAAGCUGCUCCAGAAGAUGGAUGAAUAUAUUCGAGCUGACAAUGAUUUUCGCCAAAGAAGGGAGGAGGCCUUCAGAUUUUCUGAGAUGACCAGGGGCUUCGGAGGAAGAUUCUAUCCGAGGCAUGUCAGAUCAAUUCAUAAUUCCAAUCAAAAUGAUGAUAAAGGGAGCCAGCAGCAAAGGCCACAGUACUCCUCACAGGCUUCGGGGCAACAGCAAAGCUCCUUCCGACCACCAGCUCCAAGAGGCAGAGGCGCCAGGGGCUUCGGAGGAAGAUUUGGCGAUCAACCAAGAAGAAUCUUUUGCUUAUUCUGUGGUGAGAACAAAGGCCAUACUACCAGGAUGUGCCAUGUUACUAUACAGAAGCAAAAGGAAAUAGCUGAAGCAGCAGCACAACAAGCCCAGCCGAAGCAGGUCAUGCAUACAGCUUCGUAUCAUUCGCCCUACAUCCCAGAAUAUGUGGGCAAUCAUCCUGUAGUCUCUGCUGCUUCGGCAAGUCAGCCUUCAGCUUCCUGGCAACAGCCUCCGCCUCCACCUCCGUUGCAACAAGGUCAGCAGCCAGAAGGGAGCCAAUAUGCUCCACAUCAAAGGGACUUCAGAGAACAGUCCGAAGCUCGCACGGUCAACAGCACUGUGCCAGAAUCAAAGCACAUCUAUUGACAAAUAUCCUACCUUAAUAGCAAUCUUUUUCAUUCAGUUUUAUUCUCUGUAAUAAAGGACAUUGUUUUCAUGUAAUUAGUUUCGUUGAUUCCUACAAGAAAAAUAUGUUUUCUUCACAGGUUUGCGACAAUAAAAAGGACCUUCGGACUAUCGAAAAUCCUUUGAAGCAACGAAAAGUCGUUCUAAGAAACGCAGAGUAAGUCUGACGAAGUCACAAAAAGUCGUUCCGAAGGGAGCGCAGCGUAAGUUUUCUGCUCCAAAGUCGUUCCAAAAGGAAUGCAGAGCAUACAGCGAAAAGUCAACGCUGAUACCGCCUAAGUAAAAGGCGAAGAAGCUCCAAAGACGUUCCUAAGGGAAUGCAGAGCUUAUACCGCCUAAGUAAAAGGCGAAGAAGCUCCAAAGACGUUCCUAAGGGAAUGCAGAGCUUAUACCGCCUAAGUAAGAGGCGAAGAAGCUCCAAAGACGUUCCUAAGGGAAUGCAGAGCUUACAGCGAAGAAUCAGUGCUGAUACAAAAAUAUUGUGUGGGGAUAUGUGUGUAUCUUUCGGAACAAAUGUCAUCUACGUAGCAUAACAUCAUUACAUCAUUUUGCAUAGCAUAAGCAUCAUACAUCAUGUUGCAUAUGGCCCAAGAAGGGGACACGAUAUUGAUCUUCGGAAGUAUGAUUUGAAAGAGUGAAAAUCGUGGUCCCAAGAAGGGGACACAAUAUUGAUUUUCGAAAGUAUGAUUUGAAAGAGUGAAAAUCAUGGUCGUAAAGAGAAUCAAUCUUCAUCUUCGGAAGUAUAGCUUCGGAGAAUUUUUUCACGAAGUUUGGAUAUUCUUCACGAAGCAUGAAAAGAAGGGAAGGUGUUUUUUUCGCCAAACUCAAAAACGGUACGUGUGUAAAGUUUCAUGCAUCGUAAAGAAUUGAGUAGCAAAAAUAGAUAUAUUACAUUCGGGGUUACAAAAAUGUUACAUUAUAUUACAUUUCCGAAGUUUUUUACAAAAAUGUUUAAUCCUCUCUCAAAACGACUCCUGCAGCUUCAUUCAGAAGCCGAUUGACGACUUCGUCCAUAAUAUCUUCGGCCAUCUUUUUAAUUUCGUCGUCCCCCUUCGGCUGAGGGCCCGAAGGCGCUUUAGUCGGAUCUGAAGCAGGACACGACUACAUUACUAUUACAAAUCGCAAACAAAUCUUAAAAGCCUAAAGAUUACAACACGGUAGAAGCUAUUAUUUAGUACCUAAUUGACCUUCGGGCUCUGUGCUCUUUUCAGCAGCCUUAGCCACUUCUCUAGCAUCAUGGAUGCCCUUUUCACUUCUCUGAAUAAUUUCUCUUGCCAUUUCUCGGCCACCGUUGUCCCAGAUGUCGGUGAAAAAUUUUCCCCCAACCGCGCUAGCUUCGGCUGAAGGAUCUUUUAUAUCUUCAGUCGACAAGGUGGCUUCGGACUGUGCUAAAAUUUUCACAUGUUCACAGCCCUUCUUCUCUAAAAUAGUGGCAAUCCCUCUGGCGCCAGAGAAGGCACAUAUAUCUCCUCGGCUAUUUAAAAUUUCUUCGAAGGCUUCAGCUUCGUGGUCAAUCCAUUCAAUGACACUUUCGGGAUUGCCCCUUAGAAAAUUUUCUUCACUUGAGAAUGCGCCGACCUUGGCGAAGCUAGCCUUUAAUUUUUUAACACAGUCUAUAGAUUUAUUGUAGCAUCUCUUUUUGGAUGAACGAAGCUCUUCAACAGUCACUUCUAGGUGAUCUGCCCAUUGAUCGCUGAGUUCACGCUUUGUUUCUUCAAGUAUACGUUCCUCUGUGGCUCUGGCCAGUUGUUUCCGAAGGUCUUCAAUUUCGCGUUUCUGAGCUUCAGCCUGACUUUUGAAAGCAGCUUCGUCCUCCUUUAUUUUAUCUAUCAAUGAGUAUAAUAUUUUGUCUUUUUCGAGACCUUCGUUCCUCAGUUCAAUUACUUCGGAACGAAGGUUGCUCAGGGCUAUAGUACACCCUUCGUCUUCAGUAUCUUUCUGGGCUCUGAGAGCAUUGCUAAGAAUCAAGCCCUGCAAAAAGGAAUAUGUGUGUGUGUCAGAGGGUUUAUAUGAACGGAAAAAUACAAGGAUUUCAUUUAUCAUACCUUUAAACUGUUAUAAGCUAGGCUGUCAGCCAGAUCGUUUUUUGAUAGCACCGAAAGCCCGUCUUCUAAAGUUGGGAAUCCGAAGCUUCUGCUUAUCUCCCGACAGACAGAAAUUUCCUUGUUGUCGGGAAGACAGUACAAGAAGUCUUCUUCUCCACUGCCAUUAAAUAUUAAUGCUCCCUUCGGAUAUUUCAGUUUUUGGGCAUAAUGCUGGGCCUCUUGUUCUUCUUUUUCUGAUAAUUUUCUCCCCGAAGCAUGACGAAAAAUAUAAUCACGAGUCUUGGGGGAUGCUUCGGGGGCAACAACACUAGAUUCUUCAAUAGUUGGCUUUGUUAUUUUCUCUGUCUCACUUUCCAAAGUUUUUGCGGGCUCUGAGGGUCCAGCUUCGGCUGAAAUCUCUUGCUCUGGAGCUGUAGAACCAGAGAUUUCAGCUGUUGUUUCAGGAGUAACAGCAGCUUUCUUCGGAGGUGUGCUCGAAGAUUUGAUCGUUUCCAAUACGUCUAGCACAUUAGCCAUUCUUUUUCUCUUCGGAGUUGCAGCUGGCACUUUUUCAUUUUUUGCUGUCCCAAUGAUUGCUGUAGGACUCAAAACUUCUGAUGUUUUGGAGCCCUCAGUUGCUUCUCUUACCUCCUCAAUUUUUUCUGUGAGCGGCGCUUCGGUUUUCUCUUUUGUUUCUGGCAACAAAAUAUUUGAGUGUUCUGAUUCCAUCUUUGGUGGCAUUUCGGCCGUUUCUGCGAUCUCUGGCAACAAGGCUGGCUCGAUUAGUUUUUCAGCUUCGGUGGCUGAAGAAGUUUUCCCGGUAAACUCCGGCACCGAAGCUGGUUCAAUAUAACGCGGCCGGUGCGUAAGAACCUUUAUCUUUUUCCUUUUCAGUUCUGGCUCGCUAGGAGCAGCUGCAGCUUCUUCUUUUGCAGAGAUUGUGUUUUUUCUCUUCUGCCUUCGAAUGGGAUAGCAAUAAUCAGGGUAGAAGAACCCGAUUGCAUCAAACACUCGGUUCAGUCUCUUCUUUUUUCGGCCUCCGAAGGCUGCUGAUAGUGCAGUAUUUUCAGCCUUCGAGAAUGCCCCAAGUAAUUCAUCACUUAAUGUUUCAAUGCUUUUCAGCCAGUCAUCAUCAGGUUCAAUAAAUUUAUCUGCAUAUUUGAAUGUGUAUUUUAAUCUGACUAGUCCGCCUUCGUCGGACUCUUUGAUGGUUUCUUUCGGCAUUUCCCACUUUUCUGCAAGUGGCCAUACCCUGAAGGCAAUGUGCUCCUGGACCAAGUCCCUUGACCCAAUGAAGGAGCAGACUGCGCCGAAGGCUCUUUGGCAUUCUUCGGCUGCCUCAUCCAUUUCAACCUUCGGCCUUCGAAGCCCGAAGCGUUGCCAAAUUGGGUACAUAAUGAUACUUUUGACAUUAUUUUGCGCUGUUAGAUCAUUUUUCACAUAAAACCAUUCAGACAUCCAGGCUCCGGGCCACCUCUUCCGAAAGGUUGGCACAGGGUAGCUUGACCCGGAGCGGGCGCCGAAGCUGUAGCACCCAAAGUUGUUGUGGUAUUGCUCCUUUCCCCAGGGCUUCGUCUCGUACAAUAACUCGUGUAUGUUGCAGAAGCUUUUAGCGUUUGGCUCCAAACCUUGGCUUCUCACAGCCCAGACAAAAAUCCCCAUUCUUAUAAUAGCUUCGGGAGUGAGUUGAUGAAGGUAGAUUUGGAAUGUUUUCAGUACCUCAACAACAAAAUUGCUCAGGGGGAAUCGAAGCCCAGCCUUGAGGAGGCUUCGGAAAAUCACAACUUCAUCUUCUUCAGGGGUGGGAGAAGUCUUUUCCCCGGCAUCAGCUCUCACAAUAGAUAUGUCUCGGAAGUAUCGCCCCCUCAUAUUAUCAAUGUGACUCUGCUUGAUGGUUGUUUUCCCAAAAACUGAGUGACUUGGUCGCCACGGUCGAUCUUCGGCCUCUUCCCCAUCACUUUCCACAUCAUAGCUGUCGCUGUCAUCAGUAUCUUCGGACAAACCUUCAAGAAUCUCCUUCGUGAUUUUCUCUGUAUUAGUCUCUGCCAUCGCUAUCAGGAACCCCAGAUUCUUCUCCUCCUCGAGACUCAGCUUCGUCUCAGCAGGGAUCUUCUUGUCUUCAGACAUCUUCGGAAACACUAAAAAUUUGUUCCCGAGGCCGAAGCUUCGAAAUCAAAAAGACCAGCAAAUCUCAAUGAGCAAGAGCUAAAAAUUUUUAGUGGGCCGAAGCAAAAGGCAAGCGUGUGUACCAAAUGAAUUCACGAUGUGUUCUUAUUUAUACGCCUAGGGCGUUGAAAGUUAAAAGGCCCCGCUUGUCAGUGAAUGUUGCUAUUCUAGCAAAGGGAAGGUGUUUUUUCGGACCUUCGGCUCAAGGCCUUCGUCCAUAUCGCAAUCUGAAUUUAUUAUUUACAAAUUAAUAUUGCGAGGGGCUACUGUUGGGGGCCUUCGUCCUCCGAAGGUCCUCAAAAACAUGAUUUGACAAUGUUUUCCAAGUGAAUUAUAUGAACAGGUAUUUUCGGAUUCAGAAUUAUGGAUAUGGAGCACGACCAGGACGAAGGCUGAGCCAGACGAAGGUCGGGGGCAGCCGAAGCUGUACGCAGGGAAGCUUCGGCGCGAUGGCACAAGGGGGAACCGACCUUAAGAUGAAAAGACUUCGGGGUCCUCAAUAGAUUUCCAUAAACCGUUAACAAAUGUAAUGGACAUGGAUGUAAUUUUACGUGGGCUGCGUCCCGCGUCUAUAAAUAGAUGAACAGUACUCCCGUACUGUUCACGCUGACUUUACAUUUGCUUUUGCGUCACGCCUGUACUUUUUACCUUCUCUCAGGACCGAAGGUACAUUUGUAAUUUGAAAUCAUUUCUAUUUUCUCAUGUUAAUAAAAUAGAAAUGAUUCCAUGAUGAUGCUUAUAUUAUAUCUCAUGCUUUAUAUGAGUCUUUCGUUAUUACCUAUUAUAUUUACGAAGGUAUGUCUCUUAUGACCUUCGUCCGAAACUCAUUAUUUCCCGAAGGGACAUAAUGCUUCGAAGGACGAAGGACUUUAACACUUAACACUUUUCAUGUUGCCUUGUUCUUAACUCUUAGCAUUUGAGAACAAGUCACCAACAAACCUUAACAUGCUUUUUGUUCUUCUUAAUAAGGAAGUCCUCUUGGCUAUCCAAGAGUUCAUCCUUCUCAUGAAUAGAACCUAUCAAUUCAUUUAAUUUUUCCUUUUGUUGCAUGUUUAGGUUGGCAAAAAGGGCAAGCAAAUUAUCUUCAUCAUCACUAGAGUUUUCCUCAUCACUAGAUGUUGCAUAUUUAGUGGAGGCUCUAGAUUUUACCUUCUUUUUGUCGUCCUUUGCCAUGAGGCACUUGUGGCCGACGUUGGGGAAGAGGAGACCCUUGUUGACGGUGAUGUUUGCGGCGUCCUCGUCGGAGGAGGAGUCGGUGGAGCUCUCAUCGAAGUCCCACUCUGGGCAAACAUGGGUAUCGCCGCCCUUCUUCUUGUAGUAUCUCUUCUUUUCUCUUCUCUUUCCCUUCUUGUCGUCUCCCCUGUCACUAUCACUAGAUAAUGGACAUUUAGCAAUGAAAUGACCGGGCUUACCACACUUGUAGCAAACUUUCUUGGAGUGGGGCUUGUAGUCCUUCCCCCUCCUUUGCUUGAGGAUUUGGCGGAAAUUUUUGAUGAUGAGCGCCAUCUCCUCAUUGUCGAGUUUGGAGGCAUCGAUGGGGAGCCUACUUGAUGUAGACUCUUCUUUCUUCUCCUCCGUUGCUUUGAAGGCAACGAGUUGCACCUCGGUUGUGGAGGUGGCGCCUCACUCGAUGAUUAGUUUGGAGCCUUUGAUCAUCAAUUCAAAGCUCACAAACUUUCCUAUAACUUCCUCGGGAGACAUUAGCUUAUAUCUAGGAUCACCACAAAUUAAUUGAACUUGUGUAGGGUUAAGAAAAACAAGUGAUAGUAGAAUAACCUUGACCAUUUCAUGGUCAUCCCAUUUUGUGCUCCCGAGGUUGCGCACUUGAUUCACCAAGGUCUUGAUCCGGUUGUACAUGGCUUGUGGCUCCUCCCCUUGGUUGAGCAUGAAUCGACCGAGCUCCCACUCGAUCGUUUCCCGCUUAGUGAUCUUGGUCACCUCAUCUCCUUCGUGCGCGGUCUUGAGCACAUCCCAAAUCUCUUUGGCACUCUUCAACCCUUGCACCUUAUUAUACUCCUCUCGAUUUAGAGAGGUGAGGAGUAUAGUAGUUGCUUGGGAAUUGAAGUGUCGGAUUUGGGCGACUUCGUCCUCAUCAUAAUCUUCAUCACCUACGGAUGGUACCUGUGCUCCAAAUUCAACAAUGUCCCAUAUGCUUGUGUGGAGUGAGGUUAGGUGAUACUUCAUCAUUUCACUCCACCUACUAUAAUCUUCACCAUCAAAAACCGGUGGUUUGCCUAAUGGGACGGAAAGUAAAUGAGUAUGUUUAGAAAUGCGAGGGUAGUGUAGGGGGAUCUUACUAAACUUCUUGCGCUCAUGGCGCUUAGAAGUGACGGACGGUGUGUCGGAGCCGGAGGUGGAAGGCGACGAAGAAUCGGUCUCGUAGUAGACCACUUUCUUCAUUUUCUUCUUCUUGUCGCCACUCUGGUGCGACUUGACGCGGGGAGGUGAUUCCUCCCUCUUAUUGUUGCCGGACUCUCCCGAUGGAGCUUUCCCGUGGCUUGUGACGGGCUUCUUGCCGGUCACCAUCUCCUUCUUGGCGUGAGCUCCCGACAUCACUUCGAGCGGUUAGGCUCUUAAUGAAGUAUCAGGCUCUGAUACCAAUUGAAAGUCACCUAGAGGGGGGUGAAUAGGCAAAUCUGAUUUUUAUAAACUUUAAGCACAACUACAAGCCGGGGUUAGUGUUAGAAAUAAAGUCGAGUCCAAAAGAGAGGGUGAAAACAAAUCACGAGCAAAUAAAGCGAAUGACACGGUGAUUUGUUUUACCGAGGUUCGGUUCUUGCAAACCUACUCCCCGUUGAGGUGGUCACAAAGACCGGAUCUCUUUAAACCCUUUCCCUCUCUCAAACGGUCACUUAGACUGAGUGAGCUUCUCUUCUUAAUCAAUUGGGACACUUAGUCCCCACAAGGACCACCACACAAUUGGUGUCUCUUGCUUUGAUUACAAAUGGCUUGGGAAUAAGAAAUGGGGAAGAAGAAAAGUGAUCCAAGCGCAAGAGCUCAAAAGAACACGGCAAAACUCUCUCUUCUAGUCACUAAUUGCUUUGAGUGGAAUUGGGACUUGGAGAGAUUUUGAUUCAAUCUAUUUGUGUCUUGUAUUGAAUGCACUAGCUCUUGUAUUGAAUGUGUUGGCUGAAAACUUGGAUACCUUGAAGUGUGGUGGUUGGGGGGUAUUUAUAGCCCCAACCAACAAAGUGGUCGUUGGGGAAGGCUGCUGUCGAAGGGCGCACCGGACAGUCCGGUGCGCCACUGGACACUAUCCGGUGCGCCAGCCACGUCACCCAACCGUUAGGGUUCUACCGUCGGAGCUCUGACAAGUGAGGCCAUCGGACAGUCCGGUGGUGCAUCGGACAAUCACUGUUCACUGUCCGGUGCGCCUUUUGGCGCCUGCUCUCACUUCUGCGCGUGCAGUCCGCACUGUUCACUGUUACUGUACACUUUUGCAGACGACCAUUGGCGCUGUUAGCCGUUGCUCCGCUGGCACACCGGACAGUCCGACGCUACAUCCGACAGUCUGGUGAAUUAUAGCGGAGUGGCAUUCCCAGAAACCCGAAGGUGGCGACGGUGCGCCAGACCAGGGCAGCCUUCAGUUGGUUUUGCUCCUUUUUAUUUAAACCCUUUCUUGGACUUUUUAUUGGUUUGUGUUGAACCUUUGGCACCUGUAGAACUUAUAAUCUAGAGCAAACUAGUUAGUCCAAUUAUUUGUGUUGGGCAAUUCAACCACCAAAAUUAUUUAGGAAAAGGUUUGAGCCUAUUUCCCUUUCAGCCGCCACCCUUGCCGUCGUCGUCGCCAUUGUUGCCAUCGUCCUCGUUGCAUGCUCACGAUGAGGUUGUACCUGAUGGAUCGCGCAGAGCAUGCUCACGAUGAGGUUGAGGUAUGGCGUGUUCUGUACGACUUCAUCCUCUGUCAAUGCUCUUGCGUCACCUUCCAUCAUGCGUGGGCAUGCACCAGGUAUGGCGUGUUGUCAUGUACUUUCUGGUACAUUGGUUGUUACUAUGGAGGCUUUGUUGCUGUGGUCUCCCUUGGUACUGCAUACAUGGCCUAAACACGGUUGGGUGAUGUUGUGUCUUGUCGCGGAAGUCGUGGAUCGAUGGUGUCUGUCUGGGUUCCCUCCUUGCGGGUUCGCGUGGCGGGGACUCGAUCGUCCGUCCUGCCUCGUAGGCUUGCCUGACGAGGACUUGGUCGUUCGUCCUGCCUCGCAGGCUUGCUCGGCGAGGACUUGGUCGUUCCUCCCACCUCGCGGACUUGCUCGGCAAAUGGGUCGUGGAGAGUAUGGGCCUCACUAUGGGCACCCCAUUUCCUGGUACCCGACAUAGUGACUAAAAGUGACUAAAAUGAGCUUUUUACCCCACCACCUGCCCUCCCCCACGUGAGCUAUGCGCUGAACGAGCAAAGAAGUAAAUAGGGGUAAUGCAGUAAAUAUACGUAGUAGUUAAUGCUCUUUAGUCAGAUUUAGUCACUGACACCAAACGAGAUACUUUAGUGACUACUAAAGUUUAGUCAGGUGACUAAAGAAACCAAACAUAACCCUUAGUGUGAACCGAUUUAGGCACACUAGCAUAUAUCCCGUGUUAACGCUACGAUCUUGAAGAGGGAGGAGUCAACGACGGCGGUGGCGCAAGUGGAUAAGUUGACGACAGCGACGAUGACAAUGUGAGUGAGGAGAAGGGGGCAGUGGGGACGCAGAGGAUGGAAGAGGGGGAGGGGGUGGAUAGGGGCAGCAGGGUGGGAGGAGGGAGAGCGCGAGUGAGGGAGAGAGGGCGCCGGGACGCAUGGGAAGAGGAAGAGAUGAAUCAAAUAAUAUUAUAUAUUAAAUUUGAGUAAGUAAGAGAGAUUUAUCUAACGAUCCGAAUUGUUGGUUUUGAUGAUCUGUUAAGUUUAGGUGUAAUUUGUUUGAUGGAUUUAGUGAUGAUUAUAUGUGUGGGGGUGAUUUAGUUUGGUUGGUUUUACAAAAGUUUAAAUUUUUUUUAGAUUAUAUAGUGGUAUAGAUAGUCAAACAGUAGCGGCAAUGACAUCACGGUAAAUGCGCGUUGGCAUCCAAAUGCAGCUGGACACAGGUCACACAGCCUAACGGAUAUAUCAUAUAUGUGAAUCCUAACUGUACACUGUCUGAAGUGGACGAACGGCUCUGGCUUCGGCGUGUUACGUGUAUAGUAGGCCCCUUUUGAACGAACGGCGCGGGCCGGGGCCACCACCAGCAUCUGCGGCAGGGAGAAUCGCGUUGGUUCGACGCAAACGCUACCCGGCGCCCCCUUGCCCUUGGGGCCGGCUAUUUUACCGCACCCGUUCUCCCCUCUCUACCGCAGAUCAGAUCACACUCGUAGAGAGAAGGAAAAAUAUCCCCAAACCCUAGCUCCCGAUCUCGAUGGCGAACCCUCGCGUCUUCUUCGACAUGACCGUCGGCGGCGCCCCGGCGGGCCGGAUCGUGAUGGAGCUGUACGCCAACGAGGUGCCCAAGACCGCGGAGAACUUCCGCGCGCUGUGCACGGGCGAGAAGGGCGUGGGCAAGUCCGGGAAGCCGCUCCACUACAAGGGCUCCACCUUCCACCGCGUCAUCCCCGAGUUCAUGUGCCAGGGCGGCGACUUCACCCGCGGCAACGGCACCGGCGGCGAGUCCAUCUACGGCGAGAAGUUCCCCGACGAGAAGUUCGUGCGCAAGCACACCGCCCCCGGUGUGCUCUCCAUGGCCAACGCCGGGCCCAACACCAACGGCUCCCAGUUCUUCAUCUGCACCGUCGCGACCCCUUGGCUCGACGGCAAGCACGUCGUCUUCGGCCAGGUCGUCGAGGGCAUGGACGUCGUCAAGGCCAUCGAGAAGGUGGGCACCCGCAACGGCUCCACCUCCAAGGUGGUCAAGGUCGCUGACUGCGGACAGCUCUCCUAGAUCUCUCUGAUCUGGUCUGUUCGGCCGCCCUCCCUCCGUCAUCGUCGACUCCCCCUGCGUCCGUUCCUUUGGAUCUGAAUAAGAUGGUGGUGAUCUGAGUGGUGGUCUUAGUUUAUCAUGUAUCGCUCGCAGUUUAAUUUAGCGGUUUAGGUGUGGAUCUGUGAACCCCAUGGCGCCUCUGCUUGAUUCGUGUUUCACCUGUUAUGUUCUGAGAUUCAUGAUAAUGCUAUGAGAACUGAAAUUCCCGUUUCAUGCUUCUUAAAUCUUUGACCUCUGCGGUUGUGCCAUACGUUUUUAUUUUCCAUUCCGAGAUCUAGGCCACAAAAUGAUUCUGGUUGUUAGUGUUUUAAUGUGAACUGCCAAGCAU
rnacentral:lncRNA from 1 species